rnacentral:lncRNA from 1 species
GCCGCCCAAAUUUGCUGCUCCGCAAUCAACUCUGCGUCCGAAACUUGUUGGAAGCCUUCCCAAGUAUCUAUAGUGCCAUAAAAUAGUAAAGGAACGCCUUCGUGAUUACAAAUAGCAGCGUACACGCAAAGAGUGGCUAUAAUAUUCAUUAAACUAUAAUGGUGCGUUUACUUCAUGGAAUGAGAAUUGGGUGGAAUGGGGUGGAAUGGGAAUGAACUGGGAAUAGGAAUGGACAUUUUCAUUCCCAACCCUCCAUGGGAAUGAGAUUCUCAUUUCUUAUUCUCAAAUUGUGUGGGACCCAUAUAUUUUUUUCUCAUUCUCAAAUUACAUUUUACUAAGUAAACAUAGAUUUUAUUAUCAUUCUCCAUUUCAUGAAGUAAACACGCCAAAAGAUAAAAACCCAAAUAUUCCGAAAGUUCGGUGUACGGACCAAGUCGAGCCCUCUCUUUUGUCAACUUCUUCAAAUAAUAUAUCUUCUAGAGUAUAGUAAAAUAGUGAAAUGUUUAAACUUGGCAAAUCCUCAGUAAAAGGCGGAUCGUGAGACGGUAUUUUACCAAUAAACUCGAGUGGUCCCAUGUAAUAUUUGCCUCCGGUUUGGAGACAAAUGUGGCGGAGAUUUGGUGCGUUUGGGAUUACAGAACGGAGCACGUUAUGCAACAUGGCGCCGUUGAUCUGGCAAUUCUCAGCUUCAGUGCGACGACCGUCCCACGUCACGUAGAAGAUGUGGGUGACGUCAGUGAGUUUUGAGAGCUUGGCUUGUGUGUCCUCUUGGUCGGAAACAUCGCAUUGGAGGUAUUCAACGGGGUAAGCGGCGUUCCAGUUAGGCCUGGGGCGUCGGGCCACUCCGUAGACCUUCCACGGGCCGCCGGGGGUAUCUGGUCGGGGUAAAAUCUCAGCUAGGCUGUUGCCUACAAUUCCUGUCACACCUACUACAAGUCCCACGCUCUGGUAGUCACGAGUUUGCUCAUAUUCUUCCAAUUUGUUUCUGUACAAGUUAAAAUUAAACAAACAUCAUUUUAAAUAUCAACAUGCUAUAUGUACAUAAACUUAGAGUAGCUCUUUGCCUUAGCAGCGCCAAUAGCUCCUGCCCACCACCAGCUCAUUUUUUUUUUUGGUGAGUUUGGUUUCUGAUUCUAGCUAUACAUAGGAUACUCCUGUGCAAGAGUAGGCCACGGAUAUGCACGAUUUUUCUGCAUUUAUGUUGAUAAAUUUUAACAUGAUUAAGAAAUAAGUUAAAAUGACAUGACACUAUAAAUAUCUGUGUUGCAUCCGUGUUGAACUAUUUCAACACAAUUACGUCUUUAAUUAUGACAUGAAUGCUAAUUUUUCAGUUUAUUAUAUUUUAUAUUUUGGCUGAGUUAUUAUAUAUUAAUUAUUGCCCUAUAAUGAUUUAAAUUUAGAAUUGGUUUAUAUAAUUAAAUUUUCAUAUCUUGGAUUAGUUUGAGUUUUUAUGUCAUUUAUUUUUUUAAUCAAAUAAUUUAUUUUUAUUUUAUUUGUUAAAAGUUAAAUUAUGAUAGUAUUUCUAUUGAUAAUCAGGUUGUUAAUCGUGUAGUCAUAUCAUAAUCGUGUCAAAUAGUAAUAUGUGAUACUCAUCAUGUCAUGUCACCCAUUUAUGAAGUGGGUUGUAUCGUGUUUGAAUUUUUUGAUACAAUUAUUAAACAUGUAGGAUCUGUAUUUACUAAAAUUAACAUGAAACAAUUACAACACAACAAAAAUACGAUUCAGCUACACGAAUUGCCACUUUAGAAGGUAAUUAAGUGUUCAGUUCGAGUUAGAUUAUGUGAUCAAUACUGAAAGAUCGAAUAUGUUUAGGUGUGGUAAAAUGAGGCUCCAGAUAAGGUCCAAGCUUCGUACAUAUCAUUGUCAGACAAUUGGUGCUCGCAGAUUUAGAAGUUGUUACUCAUUUAAUGUGUUUCACUUCUAUAAGGGUCUAAUAUUGAGGCAUUUCGUUAUCGGAUGCUGUAAAACUUCAAAUUAACACAACAUGCAUAUGUGGUCCCAUUAUUGUGAAAAUGUCAAAAUUAUCCUCCAAUUACAAAUCUCAGUCAUUUAAUUUGCUCACAAGAACUUAGUACAAGUGCUUGUGAAACUUGAUAUACGAAUAAAUGAAUAUUUCCUUUCCUUAAUUUUAGGAAAUAGCUGAACUUGUUCUAUGAAUGAAUAGAAUAUUUUUUUCUCAUUGAUUAAUCCUUGUGAAUAUUUACGUGGGUUAUUUGAAUGAGCAAUUUUUUUUCUCUAUAAAUAUACCAUUAUGAAAACAUUUUGGCCCUUGUGUAAAAUAUGAAAAUCCUAGAAGAAAAAUGUGAAUAAAAUAAUUCUAACGUAAUUUAUACUCACCAAGAAGGUGAGAUAGAAAAAGAAAAAGCGUCUGAAGUUUCAAUUUUGUUAGUGGUUUGAUGAAUCUCUACUCUCACCUUGUUAGGUAAUUAAUAGUAAAACAAAUUAAUACUUAAAUGAUGAGAUAUGGAUAAACGAAUUUAUGAUUUAUGGUACAGAUGGGGUGAAAAAUGGUCUUUGUUGACACCAUUUUGGUGUUAGCAACAUGUUUUGCUGGCAUCGAGUUUUAUUAUAUGCAUAGCCCGAGUCAAUGUCACACUAAAAUUAGAAAACAGCAUCAGCAAUUUACGUUACUAUGGCAUAUAUGAAAACCAUUUUGACUCCACGACAUCACGUACAUAAUGAUUUUAGGGCGUGUUUGGUAUCCCGCACAACAUAGUAUUAAAACACUGUUUCGCAUUAACUUAAUACUAACUCAUGUUUGGCGUUAAAUUCAACUGGCGUGGUAUUGCAUUAACUUGGGAAACUAAUGCGGUCAGAUCCGCAUAAACCAAACCCGAGGGGGGGUUCGGGUUUACGCCGCAUCGUAUUAGAGCAAAUCAAGAAAAUAAAAUUGAGAAAAUUUUACAGCAUGUUCACGAUGAAAUUCAUAUCACCCAAUCUAGUACCACCAAAUCGACUUGGCAAUCAUCGCUCGACGCCAUCACCGACGCUUUUACACUGCCGCGCGACACCAUAGCCAUUGCUCCAUGAAGACACCUUCACUGUGGAGAAGAUAAAGCUCAGAGAAGAAGAAGAAAGAAGGAGAAAAAGAGGAAAAGAAAAAGGGAAAACAAAUUGAAGAAGACAAAGAAAAUAGAAGAAAAGGAGGAAAAAAAAGAAAAUGAAAUGAAGACGAAGAUAAAGCCCAGAGAAGAAGAAGAAAGAAGGAGAAAAAGAGGAAAAGAAAAAAGGAAAACAAAUUGAAGAAGACAAAGAAAAUAGAAGAAAAGGAGGAAAAAAGAAAAUGAAAUGAAGACGAAGAAAGAGAAAAAGAGAACAAAAAUGAACGAAGAACAAAAAGAUCUGGAGAAGACAAAGGUAGGAGAAAGAGUAAGCAGAUAAUGAUACAUUGAAAAGCAUUACCUAAAGAAAAAAAAAGGAGAGGGAGGAAAUUAAAAUAAAUAAAUAAAACGUUAAUAACUAUUAUUUUCUAAAUAUAUAUCAUUUAAAUUAAUUAAAAAAAAUUAAUACAGUGAAGUACCAAACACAAUAUAAUUAAAAAUUAUAAAUAUUAUUUUAUAAUUUAUAUAAUAUAAAUUAAUCACAAAAAAUUAAUACAGUACAGUGUAACACCAAACAUAGUAUAACUAAAAAUUAAUACAGUACAGUGCAACACCAAACAUUGUACAACAUUAUUAUAAUACAGUGCUAAUGCAAUACAACAUAAUACAAUACAGCAGUAUAAAAAUAAUGCAAUACAGCAUAAUACAAUACAGUGUGUCAAACGCACCCUACGGUAUCAAAGGAAUUCUGAUUUUAUGAUAUCAAUGGAUUGAUGAUUCCAUGGUAUCAAAGAAAUUAUAGUUCUGUGGCAUAAACAUUUAUUUGAGAAAAAUAAAAAAUAAUGCAAAACAGAAAUUACAAAUUUACAAUUGUAAUUUGAUUUUUAGUCUCCAUUGAACAAUAUGAAAGAGAAUUACAUUGUUUAUAUGUACUCAAAGUGCCAUAAACAUCCAACAAAAGAGAUACAUAGUCUUAUUUAAAAGUAUAAUCUAACAACAUUAACAAUUUAAUCAAUUAUGCUAAAGUUCAUAAAAUAAUCAAUGAAAAAAUCCAUAAACUUUCUUCAAAAUCUAACAGCAGCAACAUACUUGAGAAGUCAGCAGCAUCUUUAAUAACUAACAACCAAAUUUAACCAUCACAAGCAAAUCAACACAGCACAUUCCUGAGAAGUAAUAGAGGAAUAAAAAGGCAAUUAUACAUCAUCGUUCCCAGCAAAAGCCAUAGAAUAAAGGCAGCCAUAUAGUUCCCCAAAUAGAGUAACAUCAACCAAAACAAGACAAAACACAUCUCUUUUUAACAAUCUACAACUCUUCCUUGACAAAACCUAUCAAACUGAAAGAAAAAAAUAAUUUAAUGUGGAAAAUAGCACCACCUUUUUUAGAAGGUGGUGCCCACCACUUUUCCCUGUUUUGAAUGCGGUUGUUGCUGCAUUCUUUGAAUCAACAAAAAUAAAAAGAAGAAGGAUUUGGUGCCGACCAAAAAAAAAAAAGAGAGAAGAAAAAAGAGAUGCCGGGCCGAAGAAGGAAAAGAAAAAAAAAAUUAAAUAAUUGAUGAAUAGUGCCAAAACUUGCUCUAUAAAUAGAAACGAAGAGAAUGAGCAAAUUCAUUCCAUUGAGAGAGAAGCAUUUCUUUCUUUUAGAGUUGAGAGUAUUAAGAGUUUAAUAAACUCUUGAGUGAUUAGUGUUCUGAGAGUUUGAGUGGAUUGAGAUUUUGGGAAAUGAGCUAAAGUACUACAAUACUUGUAACUCCUUUUCACUAGUAAAAUAUUUCCUUCUGUUUUCGCCCGUGGACGUAGGCUAAAAGUCGAACCACGUAAUUUCUAGUGUCCAUUUUUGUGCUUGUUCUUUAUUUUUCUUCCAAUUUUACUUUAGCUGCGUGUCUGCUUCACCCAUCAAUUUCCUAACAGUGGUAUCAGAGCUAUUAGUUGUAUUUUUGGAGUUGGGUACUAUUCACGUAAGGGUACUAUUCACAUAUACGGUAUUGUUCACGUAUACGAUACUAUUCACGUAUAUGGUAUUGUUCACGUAUACGGUACUAUUCACGUGAAACGGUGGGAGCGAUUCAAGAAUUUGGCGGUACAAAAGAAGGGAAUAGUGGUGUAAGUAAAGCAACUGUGUGAUUUUGUACAUGUCUAGGAAAGUUCUGUCACAAAGGCGAUAAGAGCUUAAGGAGUUUGGGUUUUAAGUGAGACCAUUGUGACCCCUCCAAUCUUUCCUGGGAACUUUCCUGGUGUGCAUUCACACACAUACUCACAACUAUUCAAGGUGGUACACUAGCUUGUGUGCAGUAUUUAUCAACAAAAUGGCGGCAAAGUAUGAAAUUAAGAAAUUUAACAGAAACAAUUUUUCGUUGUGGAAAAUGAAGAUGAAAGCUGUAUUGAGGAAAAAUAAUUGUUUGGCAGCAAUUGGAGAAAGGCCCAUGGAGAUAACUAAUGACAAGUGGAACGAGGUAGAUGGUAACGUCAUUUCUGAUCUACACUUGACACUUACAGACGGAGUAUUAUCCAGUGUGGCAAAGAAAAAUACAGCGAAGGAAAUAUGAGAUACUCUCACAAAAUUGUACGAGGCCAAGUCACUACACAACAAAAUCUUCUUGAAGAGGAAACUUUAUACUCUUCGGAUGGCGGAAUCUACAAUGGUGACCGACCACAUCAACACCUUAAAGACUCUAUUUUCACAACUCACAAUGUUGGGUCAUAAUAUAGAGGAAAAUCAAAAUGCAGAGCUUCUACUUUAAAGUCUACCAGAUUCGUAUGAUCAACUCAUCAUCAACCUGAUGAACAACAAUCCAGUGGACAGUCUAGUUUUCGACGAUGUUGCAGCCUCCGUAUUAAAUGAGGAGAGCAGGCGGAAAAAUAAGGAAAACAAACAAGUAAGUUCGCAGCAAGCGGAGGCACUAUCGGUGACGAGAGGGAGAACAACGGAACGUAGCCUCAGUGGGAGUCAAAAUCACGGUAGAUCAAAAUCCAGAAGUAAGAAGAAUGUUAAAUGCUACAACUGUGGCAAGAAAGGGCACGUCAAAAAAGAGUGUUAGAGUAACCAGAAGAGAAGAGAGGGCAAAGAACCUGAGUCAUCAAAUGCUCAGGGUUGUGUAGCAAGUACCUCGGAUGAUGGCGAAAUUCUUUACAGCGAGGCAACAACUGUUUCAGAAGGCAGAAAAAUGACUAUCUGAUGUCUGGCUUAUAGACUUAGGAGCUACCUGGCACAUGACCUCUCGGAGAGAAUGGUUCCACACAUAUGAACCUAUCUCAGAAGGAUCUGUAUAUAUGGGUAAUGAUCAUGCCUUGGAGAUCGCUGGUAUUGGUACUAUCAAAAUAAAAAUAUUUGAUGGUACAAUUCGCACAAUUGGGGAAGUACGACAUGUCAACGACCUAAAGAAAAAUCUAUUGUCUUUGGGACAAAUGGGUAGUCAUGGGUAUAAAACUCAUGUGGAGAAUGGAAUUAUGAAGAUCGUUAAAGGCGCGCUUGUAUUGAUGAAGGCAGAAAAGAUCGGUGCUAAUUUAUUCAUACUUAAAGGAGAAACACUACAGGAGGCUGAUGCGUGUGUCGCAUCAAAUGGAGAAGAGUCAACGAUGAUGUGGCAUCUCAAACUUGGCCACAUGUCAGAACAAGGUUUGAAGAUUCUCUCUGAGCGAAAAUUGCUUCCGGGGCUCAAAUCGGUAAGUUUACCAUUUUGCGAGCAUUGUGUUACAAGUAAGCAGCAUAGAUUAAAAUUCAGUAGAUCUAUUGCUCGAAGUAAAUGCAUUCUAGACUUGAUUCAUUCUGAUGUUUAGGAAUCACCGGAUAUAUCCAUUGGAGGUGCAAAAUACAUGGUGACUUUCAUUGAUGAUUCUAGAAGAUGUUGGGUGUAUCCAAUUAAGAAAAGUCAUAUGUAUUUCCAAUAUUUAAAGAAUACAAAGCGCGAGUGGAACUUGAAUCUGGUAAAAAGAUCAAGUGCUUGAGGAUAGAUAAUGGUGGAGAGUAUACAGACGGCAAGUUUCUUGCUUUAUGUAAGCAAGAAGGUAUUUAGAGACAGUUUACGGUGGCAUACACUCCUCAACAAAAUGGAGUGGCAGAGCGGAUGAAUAGAACUCUUACAGAACCGAUAAGAGUUAUGUUGAGGACUGCUGGUUUACCCAAUUCAUUCUGGGCAGAAGCAGCCAAAACUGCCUGUUAUAUAGUAAAUCGAUCGCCAUCUACAGCUAUUGGGCUGAAGACAGCGAUGGAGAUGUGGAUUGGAAAGCCAGCUGAUUAUUCCUACCUACAUGCAUCUGGAUGUCUUGUGUACGUGGUGUACAAUGCCCAAGAAAGAACAAAGCUGGAUCCAAAAUCUAAAAGAUGUAUCUUCUUGGGAUAUGCUGAUGGAGUAAAGGGGUAUCGUCUGUGGGACCCCACUGCCCACAAGAUCGUCAUCAGCAGAGAUGUUAUCUUUAUAGAAGAUCAACUGCAAAGGAGAGAUGAAAAUGAUAACAGUGUAAAAGAAAAGUCAGAGACUAUACCGGUAUAUGUGGAAAAUAAUCCAGAAGAUUCAGAUUCUUCUGAAGCAACACCAGAGCACGAGGAACAAGAACCAGUUGAGUCCGAGGCUCCAGAAGUUCGUCGGUCAACUCGUGAGAGACGACCGCCAACGUGGCACUCGGAGUAUGUCACAGAGAUCAACGUUGCAUACUGUCUUCUAACAGAGGAUGGAGAGCCUUCAACUUUCUAUGAAGCUUUAAACAGCUCAGAUGUUGCUUUGUGGAUGACAGCAGUGCAGGAAGAAAUUGAAGCUCUACACAAGAGCAAGACAUGGGAACUUGUACCACUACCACACGGAAGAAAAGCCAUUGGAAACAAAUGGGUCUACAAGAUCAAGCGUAAUGGCAAUGACCAAGUGAAGCAGUUUCGUGCAAGAUUGGUAGUGAAAGGAUAUGCUCAGAAAGAAGGUAUUGACUUCAAUGAGAUAUUUUCGCCGGUGGUUUAACUCACAACAGUCAGAAUAGUCUUGGCAAUGUGUGCUACAUUUGACCUACAUCUAGAGCAGUUAGAUGUGAAAACUGCAUUUCUUCAUGGAGAACUUAAAGAAGAAAUAUAUAUGCUCCAACCAGAAGGUUUUGCAGAAACAUGAAAGGAAAACUUGGUUUGCAGGUUGAACAAAUCUCUAUACGGUCUCAAACAGGUGCCGAGGUGUUGGUAUAAGAGAUUUGAUUCCUUCAUCAUGAGCCUUGGAUACAAUAAACUAAGUUCAGACCAUUGUGUAUAUUACAAAAGGUUUGAAGAUAAUGAUUUCAUUAUUUUGCUGUUGUACAUGGAUGACAUGUUGGUAGCAGGCCCCAACAAAGAUCGAGUCCAAGAAUUGAAGGCACAGUUGGCUAGGGAGUUUGAAAUGAAGGACUUGGGACCAACAAACAAGAUUCUAGGGAUGAAAAUUCACCGAGACAGAAAUAACAGGAAGAUUUGGCUUUCGCAGAAGAAUUACUUGAAGAAAAUCUUGCGGCGCUUCAAUAUGCAAGAUUGUAAGUCAAUUUCUACCCCACUUCCUAUUAAUUUCAAAUUAUCCUCAAGUAUGUGUCCUAGCAAUGAAGCAGAGAGGAAGGAGAUGUCUCGAGUACCAUAUGCAUCAACAGUGGGAAAUUUAAUGUUCGCUAUGAUAUGUACUAGACCAGACAUUGCACAAGCAGUGGGAGCAAUCAGUCGAUACAUGGCGAAUCCUGGUGGAGAGCAUUGGAUAGUUGUGAAGAGGAUUCUGAGAUAUAUCAGAGGAACCUCAGAUAUUGCAUUAUAUUAUGGAGGAUCAGAGUUUACUGUCAGGGGCUAUGUGGAUUCAGAUUUUGCAGGAGACCUUGAUAAAAGGAAAUCCACUACUGGUUAUGUGUUUACACUUGCGGGAGCAGCUGUAAGCUGGGUUUCGAAACUGCAGAAUGUUGUGGCUUUAUCUACAAUAGAAGCAGAAUACAUGGCAGCUACACAAGCUUGCAAGGAAGCUAUUUGGAUACAAAGAUUAUUGGAGGAGCUCGGGCACAAACAAAAGAAAAUUUUUGUGUUUUGUGAUAGUCAUAGUGCCUUGCACAUUGCAAGGAAUCCAGCUUUUCAUUCCAGGACAAAGCACAUAGGAGUUCAGUAUCACUUCGUUCGAGAAGUAGUGGAAGACGGAAGUGUGGAUUUACAGAAAAUCCAUACCAAGGAGAACCUAGCAGAUGUUUUGACUAAGCUGAUCAAUGUUGACAAGUUUAUCUGGAGUAGAUCCUCUUGUGGCCUAGCAGAAACGUAGGCAGCAUGAUUAUGGCGAAGCAGAAAGGAUGGUGUAGAGAUUGAUUGUUUUUCAAUCUAAUCUCCAAGUGGGAGAAUGUGGAAAAUAGCACCACCUUUCCUAGAAGGUGGUGCCCACCACUUUUCCCUGUUUUGAAUGCGGUUGUUGCACUCUUUGAAUCAACAAAAACAAAAAGAAGAAGGAUUUGGUGCCGACCAAAGAAAAAAAAAAGAGAGAAGAAAAAAGAGAUGCCGGGCCGAAGAAGGAAAAGAAAAAAAUAAUAAUUAAAUAAUUGAUGAAUAGUGCCAAAACUUGCUCUAUAAAUAGAAACGAAGAGAAUGAGCAAAUUCAUUCCAUUGAGAGAGAAGCAUUUCUUUCUUUUAGAGUUGAGAGUAUUAAGAGUUUAAUAAACUCUUGAGUGAUUAGUGUUCUGAGAGUUUGGGUGUAUUGGGAUUUUGGGAAAUGAGCUAAAAUACUACAAUACUUGUAACUCCUUUUCACUAGUAAAAUGUUUCCUUCUGUUUUCGCCCGUGGACAUAGGCUAAAAGCCGAACCACAUAAUUUUUAGUGUCCAUUUUUGUGCUUGUUCUUUAUUUUUCUUCCAAUUUUACUUUAGCUGCGUGUCUGCUUCACCUAUCAAUUUCCUAACAUUUAAAACAAUGCUUAAAAACAAAUUAUCAUAUUCAUAUAAAACUAGUUUUGGCUCUUUAAACCAUUAAACAUGAGCUUCCUGAAUAGCAAAGCAUAUCAGUAAAACUAUAAAAAAAGAAAAAGAAAAAUUAAAACACUUGGAGUAGAAUAAAGUACAUCAGUGGCCUUAUCUAACAACUAGUUAGUACACUUGCGGAAUAAAUGGUUGGUAAAGUCGAAGAGUUUAUGAAGUAUAACAAACAAGUACGUUUAUCAAAUUUAGAGAUGAUUUAAAAUUUAAUAUUGUUUAUCUCAACUUCCCUGAAUGUCUGGGUACUCAUAUGAAUAAUUUAAAAUAAAUCAAGCACUAGAGACAAACUUUAAUGUUGUCAUCAAUGGUGCACUUUCCUUUGUAAGCAUACGUUGACAUUUUAAAGCAAAAUAUUCUGAUCCAUCCGUAAUGUAUAAGAGCUUUGCCAUUUGAAUAUACGACAUUGCAAUUUUAACAUGUAAUUUAGCAGAUAAUAGUCACGUAUGGACCUGUCCUAAUAUCCAAAUAAGAUUGAAAAACUAAAUUGUAGAUCAAACACAUAAAAGUUGAUCAUCUAUCCUUUCAAUAUUUAUUUUUAAUAAAAUCAACUUCCAACUUGUAGGCUUGAAUAAAACAAGUGAUAACCUGAAUUCCCAAAAGAGAGAGUUAGGCAAUUGUACAUUAUUUAUGCCUUGGAGUCUUUUUGUUAAACACAUGAUGUGUUAACAUGAAAUGAACACCUUAAUCAUUUCAAACAACCAAAUUAAGUACAUGAUGGCUCUAGUGGAAAAGGUACAGAAUGCGAAAUUACAAAAUGUAAUUAUAACAUUAUUGAAAAAUUUUAGUGAGUCAACAAUUGAAAGUAUAUUGAUCAAAUUGUAAUAGAACAUAAAUUCAUAUAAGUAAACAACAAGUAAAAGUUAGUAAACAGGCUGCAGUAAAUCGUUGGAGCAGCAAUAAAAUAAACAAUAGAAAAGAAAAUGAAAAACAUAAAGUUUAGAAAAAUCCCGAGGCCUGUUAAACAACAGUCUCCUUAAAACAGAUUUACCACUAUUACGGUGCUUUUAGGUUUAUUGGUAUCUGUUUCUCAGGAUACAACGGGAACAAAUUAUUCGUCAAGCACGCACAAAUAAUUUUGGCAAACAGUAACAAUGCAGAAUCUCGAUCAAAACAGAACGUCAGAGGAGGAAAAUUUUUUUUUUCAAGUGCUCUGUGUGUUUGUUGUGUAUAAAAGAGAAAAUGAAGACUCGCUUUUAUAUACAUGAGGGUAUGUAAUUGUUGAAUAAUAAAAUUGAAUAUUUGAAUUUAAUAUUUGAUUUAAUUUGCUUCUGUAACAGCCCAUUUGAAUUAAAAAUAUUCAAUUUUGUAACAGUUCAAAAUUUAUUCACAAAUCAAAACUGCUUUUGAUUUUUAAUUGUGCAAAACUGUUACAAAAUUUAAAAGGAAAGGAAAUAAAAAAACGUGGCCAUGCAGGCCUGGAUGAUUUUGGGCCGACAUUUGUGUAUGCAGGACGUGUGGACAUACACGAGUUCAACCAAAUUGGGCUUGGAUUUGCACCCCCCUGCACACGCGCGAACGGAGAGAGUCUCUAUCUUUAAAAUUCUUACUCAUGUAUGGAUGAUUAUCUAUAUAUAAACACAAAUCAUUUAGCUUAUUUUUCCCUCAUGGGAUAAGUUUCCAUUUCCUUUCAAAUUUCCAACUACAAAAGUGCACUUUGAGAGUCAAUUUCUCAUUCACCUAAGCAUCAUUUUUAGUAUAUAAAUAUACCAUUUCGAAGUGUUCACAGAGUAGAAUCCGAACCUCUCCAGAUUUUCAACUUUCGCUAAGUGGGUCCCACUCAAAAUGUGCCCUUAAAAUAGCUUCCUAAUAUGUUAUUUUUUCAACAAUCCCCCACAUGAAUGAAAAUUGGCAGUAAAACAAAAAACCGCUAAAUUUGACAUCAAAACCACUUUUGACCUUAAUGAUUGAUAACUCUAUGAAAUGAGAGUUAUUAUGGCAAUUUUAGACUUAAAUCAAGAUCACUUAGAGAGUAAAUGAUGUGUUUUUAUUGCAUUUUUGUUACAUUUUGCAUAAACAUUCAUUUUAGUUUAGUCUUAAUAAGUUUUGCUUGAUUUAAAGUAAUUCGUGCUCAAAUUGUGUGCAUAAUUGUAGGUUUCAGAAGCUUAUAAUUCAUGGAAGGAAUGUCGAUGCAAUAGGUUGGCAAAAAGGAGGAAGAACAUGACUAUAAAAGAAUUGAAACAAAUCUGGAACAGUACAGUUGUUGUAGCAACCAUUGCUGUAGCCGUUGUUGUAGCAAUCCUGGAACAACGACAGAGAAAAUUCCACGCGGGAUACUUGCAGAAUUGCGAUCUGCAGUUUCCUAAUCUGACUUAUGCGCACCUUAGGCUUCCGUUUACCCUAAUUUUCAGUUAUAAAAGAAGCACACAUCAUAAGGAAUAGAGAGAGCCGUCACCCAAGGAGAAAAACACAAAGAAACAAAAGAAAAACAAGAUUCAAGAGAGAGAUUAAGGGCUGCACAAGAGGAGAAUUUGCAUAAAUCAAUUGGGAGCUCAAUCAUUCUUAUUCUUCUAUUGCUUUCUCGUUUUCUAUUUAUUUAUGGGGAUGUGUUUCAUGGCUGAAACUUUGUUCUUUAUUUUUCUUUUAUAAACCAUGAACUAAAUUUAUUUGUGGUUGAGUGAUAAACAAUUUUGAUAGUUUAUUGACUGAAUAUAUGUGUUGCUGCAUGUUUGCUGUAGCAGUUUGUUUUGAUAGUAUUUAUUUUUAUUCGUUAUUUCGGUUGAUCACCCAUUUAAUGAUACAAGUUAUGAGAGAGCCGCAAAAAGGCCUAUCUUAGUGUAACAUAUCAGAACAAUACUUGAUCUUAAAUUGAGUUUCCCGGAUUAAGUUUUACUUGAGUCCCAAAAGGGCCAUGCUUGAUUUAAGAUUAGUGAUGAACUAGACAUAAGGAUUCACCUUGUAGGGUAAAUAGAACCUAAGCGUGUAAUGCUAUGUCUUAUGUUGGCAUAGCAACUGAUCAUUGUUAGGUUGCAUAUAGAUAUAAGAUAUCCAACAUGCGACGGCUAAGGAUACAUAAGAAUUCUGCCUAAAAUGUUGUAGCAACCGAAUCAAACAUUAGAAAAAUAGUCAAGACCAUUAAGAAAGUUUAUUCACUCAACUACUUUAUAAUCCCAUUGAUUUUAUCCUUGAGAUUGAAGUGAUAAUUUACUUUGUUGCAUUUUAUUUAUUGCGUUUUUAUUUUAAUUAGUAUAUUAGUUUCAUCAAUUGUUUAUCUUAAUUUAGACACAAAAUCUGCACUGUUACGAUUGCUGUAGCAAAUCUGAUAACAUUAAUCCCUGUGGAGACGAUCUUGAAUACUCAUCACUUUAUUACUUGUUGUGUACACUUGCACAUUGACACCAAUAGCAUUAGUAUUUAUACACCAACAAUGAUCGAGUUCACUGAAUCGAAAUCUUGCAUAGGAUAGGUAGGUCUCAUCCUUUGAACCUUCCCUUGUGAUAGUAUAUUUACUUUACUAGCUAAUCAGUAGAUGCGAUGUCUUUGAACUGUUAUGCCGUUUGUGUAAACGAUGAUAUACUACACACGGAUAUCGCUCUUAACAUUGUUGAGUUCUAAUGGUUAUGUUCGUUUUGGCCUUGAACAUCUACCUAGUUCUACAAGAGUUUCUAAGAAUUGAACCCUUAUCAGUUCCUUUUUAAGCGACCCUACUUCUCUCUCACAUAUCUUAAUUAAGAGUAACCCGCAUUACUCCAUUUGGAUUUCUGACGUAUAAGAAUCAUUAAGAGCCUAGCUUAACCUUUCCCAUGCGAGCAUCAUUGUUUCAUCGUAGAAAUGGUCAAAGAGGUAACCCUCACAAGAAUAUGACCCCCACAGUGAUCCAACUUUAGUCUUUAAUAAUUAGGUUGUCCUUUGAACCUAGAUCUUGGGAUCUCCAGUCAACUAAGUUGCGUAUUCCUUCGUUAUUGACUUAUCAUUCUAAGGGUUUUAGUCCCAUUCCCCUCAAGGAUUUUUCUACUAGCUCUUGUUUUAAUCCUUUGGUUAGUGGAUCCGCGAUGUUAUCCUUUGACCUUCCAUAGUCAAUAGCAAUAACUCCAGUAGAAAUAAGUUGUUUAAUGGUAUUAUGUCUACGACGUAUGUGUCUAGACUUACCAUUAUACAUGUUGCUUUGUGCCUUACUAAUAGUUGAUUGACUAUCGCAAUUAAUACAAAUUGUAGGCACAUGCUUUGGCCACUUUGGAAUACCCUCUAAAACAUUUUGUAGCCAUUAUGCUUCUCACCAUAUUUAUCUAAUGUAAUAAAUUCAUAUUCCAUUGUAGAUCUGGCAAUUAUUAUCUGUUUAGAAGACCUCCACGAUACAACUGCACUUGCUAGUGUAAACACAUACCUACUAGUGGGUUUUGAGUCUUUUAUAUAUGAGAUCUAGUUAGCAUCACUAUACCUAUCUAAUAUGCUGGAUACCUAGUAUAAUGAAGUCCAUAGUUAUGAGUGUAUCGAAGAUACCUGAGUACUCUUAUGAUAACUUUUCAAUUAUCAGCUCCUAGAUUACUCGUAUAUCUGCUAAGUUUACUUAUUGUAUAGGCUAAGUCUAGUCUAGUACAGUUGUUGGUGUAUAAAUACUAAUACUAUUGGUGUCAAUGUGCAAGUGUACACAACAAGUAAUAAAGUGAUGAGUAUUCAAGAUCGAUGCCACAGGGAUUGAUGUUAUCAGAUUUGCUACAACAAUCUUAACAGUGUAGAUUUUGUGCUAAAAUAAAAUAAACAAUUAAUGAAACUAAUUUACUAAUUAAAAUAAAAACACAAUAAAUAAAAUGCAACAAAGUAAAUUAUCACGUCAAUCUCAAGGAUAAAACAAUGAGAAUAUAGAGUAGUUAGUGAAUAAACUCUCUUAAUGGUCUUGACUAUUUUCUAAUGGUUGGCUCGGUUGCUGCAGUAUUUGCUACAGCACUGGGCAGAAUCCUUAUGUAUCAUCAGCCGUCGCAUGUUGGAUAUCUUAUAUCUAUAUAUAACCUAACAGUGAUUAGUUGCUAUGCCAACAUAAGAUAUAGCAUUACACGCUUAGGUUCUAUUUACCCUACAAGGUGAAUCCUUAUGUCUAGUUCAUCACUAAUCUUAAAUCAAGCAUGGCCUUUUUGGGACUCAAGUAAAACUCAAUCCGGGAAACUCAAUUUAAGAUCAAGUAUUGCUUUGAUAUGUUCCACUAAGAUAUGCCCUUUUGCGGCUCUCCCCUAACUAGUAUCAUUAAAUGGGUGAUCAACCAAAAUAAUGAAUAAAAAUAAAUACUAUCAAAACAAACUGUUACAACAAACAUUCAGCAACACAUAUAUUCAGUCAAUAAACCAUCAAGAUUGUUUAUCACUCAACCACAAAUAAAUUUAGUUCAUGGUUUGUAAAAGAAAAAUAAAGAACAAAGUUUCAGCCAUGAAAUACAUCCCCAUAAAUAAAUAGAAAACGAGAAAGCAAGAGAAGAAUAAGAAUGAUUGAGCUCCCAAUUGGUUUAUGCAAAUUCUCCUCUUGUGCAGCCCUUAAUCUCUCUCUUUAAUCUUGUUUUUCUUUUGUUUCUUUGUGUUUUUUUCCUUGGGUGACGGCCCCCUUUUUUCCUUAUGAUGUGUGCUUCUUUCAUAGUUGAAAAUUAGGGAAAACGGAACCCUAGGGCGCGCAUAAGUCAGAUUAGGAAACUGCAGAUCGCAAUUCUGCAGUUAUCCCGCAUAGAAUUAUCUUUGUCGUUGUUCCAAGAUUGCUCCAGCAAUGGUUGCUACAGCAACUGCACUGUUCCAGAUUUGUUUCAACUCUUUUGUAGCCAUGUUCUUCCGCCUUUUUGCCAGCCUAUUGCAUCAACAUUCCUUCCAUGAAUUAUAAGCUUCUGGAAACCUACAAUUAUGCACAAUUUGAGCACGGACUAAACUAAAAUGAAUGUUUAUGUCAAAUGUAACAAAAAUGCAAUAAAAACACAUCAUUUACUCUCUAAGUGAUCUUGAUUUAAGUCUAGAAUUGCCAUAAUAACUCUCAUUUCAUAGAGUUAUCACACCCCCAAACUUAAAUCGUUACUUGUCCUCAAGUAAUGACAACAACACUCACUCUGUAAUCACACAAUCAUGCAACAAAUAACUUAACUAUGUCAUCAAAUUUGCAAGGAUUCUUCCACCCUCAAAUCACACUCUUAAUCAUACAAAAUUGCCAUAGUAGUUCAGUUCUAGACGUAGGCUUCAUUCUGUCCAAAGUGUGUAUGUGCCACUUUGAUCAAAUUCUAGAGGUGCUACAACAUGGCACAAACUUUGUAUACAAUUCAGAGGUAGAACACAAAUAUAUUCACAUAUGGGGGAGCAGAACUCACAAUUAUAUUCAAACUGUGCUACAACAAUAAUAAUUUUUUUUUUCAGUUAAACCCUUCAAUGCAACAUUAAGCUUUCAUGUGAAUGCCUAUCACUUGUAAUGACGACACCCAAUUACUCAUUCAAAGUACAUGUCAGAGUUGCUACAGCAACGCAUUCAGGAUGUUAUAUUUAGGUCAUACCUGUGGACACCUUUGACUCAAGGCUGAAUAUGGGGCUCAUGAACAGACCAAGUUACUCAGUAUUCUAGGUAGCAGACCUCUUUAUAAUCAUUUUUUUUCUUUUCUUCUUUUUUUUUUAUAAUUGCUGCAGCACUGCCCGUAGCUCAUGUUGCCUUUAGACUCAAGUUUGCAUAUGGGGUGCAUACUCAACCCUGGUUACUCAGCAACUUAAACUAUUGGAGCAGAAUUUAUUUCAUAACAGGCACAGUCCAACAAAAAUUUUUCCCCAAACUUGAGAUAUUUUAUACUCUUUUUUUUUUCUGGCUCUGCUACAGCAUUCUCAUAAAACUCAACCAAAGUCUAAGUGUCGGGACAGAAGUUCAACCUUCAUCUAUAACUAUUUUUACUUGGCUUUCUCAUAAAUACUGAAUAACACUCAAUUUAUCUUCAUUAGGUUUUCAAAUCCAUACACAAAUAUUAGAUAACAGAGCUUUACACAACACAAGCAUAAACAUAUGCACUCAGAAACACAACCCCCCCAAACUUGAGUGGUGUUGUGUCCUCACAAGCACACAAAAUAAAACCACAUAAACUAGACAUGCAUACACUAAAUAAAAGGACAUGCAGAAUGAAUUAGAAAAUUAAAACUAAAUGAAAGAAAAUUUUUGCAGCAAGAAGUAAAAUAAACUAGCGGUUAGGGGUACUGCUAUGUUGCUAGAAGCACUGUUGCAGCACAGGCCAUAAAGGGGUCACUUCUUCUUUGAUCCACUUCUCAAACACUCAUCAUAAAAUUUGAUCAAUCUAUUUGCUGCUGGAAAAGCAAGAAAUGCCUCUGUUGUUUGAGAAUCUUCUGUUAUAUGUCAUGUUGUAAGUGAUGCUGCAGCAAUUCCUUCAUGUUCUUUUUGCCCACAUUUUUUUCUUACUGUAAUUUAAUACAAAAACAUAAAAAAAAAAAAUUAGAUGCACACUUAAAAUAACAAAAAGACAAACUAAAUAAUUUAAAAGCUAAAUUCAUGCCUUAAAAACUUGAAACAACUUCCCUUAUUGGGUUGCCUCCCAAUUAGUGCUUGAUUUUAGGUCUUUCAGCCUGACUUUUCUUGUUUGCUCAACCUGGAUCAUUCAAGAACAUAUCCGUCUUUAGGCUGUUCACAUCAUCUCUCAUACAGUGCUUCAUUUUCGACCCAUUAACCUUGAAUUCUUGUUGGUAUGGGGUGAGUUCCCUUUGUUGGAUUUGCUCGUCAAUUCUGAAGGGUUGCUUCUCUCCUGACCAUGUUAUGUUAGCUGCUUCAUGAUCUUCACCAUCAAGUUCUUCCAAUGUUACAGCAUUGAUUGCUUCCUCACUGCAGCAACUGUGUAAUUUCUCUGCUACAACAAAGUCCACAACACUGAUAAAAUUACAAUCUUCAAUCUCAUCGGAACUCUUCAUGGCAUCCAGCACAUUGAAUUUAACUUGCUGGUUAUUCACCCUCAUGGUUAAUUCUCCUUUUUGAACAUUAAUUAAAGUCUUUCCCGUGGCUAAGAAAGGUCUCCCUAGAAUGAUUGGCACUUCUUUGUCUGCCUCAAAGUCUAGCACAAUAAAAUCUACUGGAAAAAUAAAUUUAUCCACCUUCACCAACACAUCUUCAAUCUUACCUUCUGGAUAUACAUGAGAUCUGUCAGCAAGUUGUAAAGUCAUUGUUGUUGGUCUACAUUCACCAACUCCCAAUUGCUUAAACACUGAUAAAGACAUGAGAUUGAUGCUAGCCCCUAAAUCACAAAGUGUUUUGCCACUGUAUUUAGUGCCUAGGGAGCAUGGGAUUAUGAAGCUUCCUGGAUCCUUCAUCUUCUGCGGUAUCUUACUCUGAAGCAUUCGGCUACACUCUCGUGUUAGAGCAACUGUCUCAAAUUCUCCAAGUCUUUUUUUCUUUGUCAAGAUAUCUUUCAAAAAUUUCACAUAAUUUGGCAUUUGCUCUAGAGCUUCCACAAAAGGAAUAUUGAUAUGUAGUUGUUUCAGCACUCCUAAGAUUUUGUUGAACUGCUUAUCUUGUUGCUGCUUCUGAAAUCUUUGAGGGAAGGGUGGUGGGUGUCUAAACUACUGUGCUGCAGCAGGUUGUGCAGGCUACUUCUCUUUUGCUUUACUCGGUUCUGUUGAUGUUAAUGUUGUAACUGCCUCACCGCUAAGUGUUGGAUCAUAACUUUCUGCAAAUGUUGUAGUAGAACUGUGUCGAUUUACAUUUUGAAAAGUGAAAAAUUAUGACUCCUUCUCUACUUGAGUGUCUUCUUUACCUUUGUUGGAAUCAAUUCUCCUUUUUAGUACACCAAUUGAACUAUCAAUAUCUUUUCCAGAUCUCAAGUUAAUCACUUUGCAGUGCUCUUUCCCUUCUCUUCUUGGGUCUUCUGUGUUGCUGGGUAAACUGCCUUGAGGUCUGUUGCUUAAUGCUACAGCAAGCUGUCCAAUUUGAUUUUCCAAGUUUCUCAAAGAUACAGUAUGACUUUGGACAACUGCUUCAUUCUUCACAAUAUAAUCCUUAAUCAAACCUUCAAGGGAGCUGAGUUGAUCAUUGUUGAUGCUUCUUUGCUCUUGAUUUUACUGAUAAAAUCCACUAGGUUGAGCAAGUCUGUUCUGUCCACUGAAUGUUGUAGCAGGUUGAUUCUGAUUACUCCAUGAAAAGUUCAGGUGCUGUCUCCAUCCAGGGUUGUAAGUGUUUGAAUAUGGAUUGUCCUGGUUCUGUCUAUUGAAGCUGCCACAUAAUUGACUGAAAUUGGAUUCCCAGGACAAUUGUCGAAUAAAUGCCCUUCUCCACAAUAAACGCAAGACACAUCAGAAAUUUGGUUAACAGUUGCUGGAGCAAUACUCAUAGCCUUUACCAGCUUUGUUAAUGAAGCUACUUGGGCUGACAAUGCUGUCAAGGCAUCUACUUUAUGAACUCUUGUUGUUCCUCUUGCUGCAGCUUGUCUGGUUGAUGGCCACUGAUAGUUAUUGUUGGAUAUCCUCUCCAAAAUUUCAUAAGCCUCAUUGUAAGACUUAGAUAACAAGGCCCCAUUUGCUGAAGCAUCCACCAUCAAUCUAGUGCUUUGGUUGAGACCAUUAUAGAAAGUUUCCAACUGUAUGCAGCAAGGAAUACCAUGAUGAGGACAUCUCCUGAGUAACUCCUUAAAUCUCUCCCAUGCAUCACACAAGCUCUCAUCUUCAAGUUGAUGGAAAGAUGUGAUCUCGUUCCUCAACUUUGCAUUCUUGGUUGGCGGGAAGUAUUGCAUCAAAAAUUUAUCAGCCAAAUCAUUCUAUGUAGUGAUAGAAUCUAGUGGUAGAGAAUUCAACCAUGCUCUUGCUCGAUCUCUCAAAGAAAACGGGAAAAGUUUGAGUCUCAAUGCUUCCUGCGAUGCUCCAGCAAUCUUGAAAGCAUCACUCACUUUCAGAAAUAACUUAAGGUGUAGAUGAGGAUCUUCGGAUGGCAAACCAUUAAAUUGCCUCACUGUUUGAAGCAUUUGAAACAUCACGGGUUUGAGUUCAAAAUUGUCAGCUUGAACGUCGGGUCUAACUAUUCCCGGAUGUAUGGCUUGAGGAGUCAACACUACGUAGUCUCGAAUGGCUCUAUCUCUAUCGUUCGCCAUGUGAAUAAUGUUGUUGUUCCCUGGUUGCCUUUGAACACAUUGAUCAUUCAGACUUUCAUGUACAUUGACUGGUUGUAUCCCCUCUCAACGGUUCAAGUUUCUCAAAUCUUACAAAUCAUCAAUUGCUACAGCAGCUUGUAAUUCCCGAUGCUCUCUUCUCAAUCUCCUUGCAGUUCUUUCAAUUUCUGGAUCAAACUGGAAGUCAAUAGAUUUAUAUUUGCGCAUGUAAGGGUUGCUAGAUCACCUAUGUCAAUAAAAUAAACAAAUUAAAAUAAAAUAAAAAAUUAGCACCGUUAAAACUAAUUUCACAAAUCACAAUGAACAAUCAAUCCCCGGCAACGGCGCCAAAAACUUGUUGGUGUAUAAAUACUAAUGUUAUUGGUGUCAAUGUGCAAGUGUACACAACAAGUAAUAAAGUUAUGAGUAUUCAAGAACGUCUCCACAGGGAUUGAUGUUAUCAAAUUUGCUACAGCAAUCUUAACAGUGUAGAUUUUGUGCUAAAAUAAAAUAAACAAUUGAUGAAACUAAUUUACUAAUUAAAAUAAAAACACAAUAAAUAAAAUGCAACAAAGUAGAUUAUCACAUCAAACUUAAGGAUAAAAAUAAUGAGAAUAUAGAGUAGUUGAGUGAAUAAACUCUCUUAAUGGUCUUGACUAUUUUCUAAUAGUUAGCUCGGUUGCUACAGUAUUUGCUACAGCACUUGGCAGAUUCCUUAUGUAUCCUCAGCCGUCGCAUGUUGGAUAUUUUAUAUCUAUAUGCAACCUAACAGUGAUCAGUUGCUAUGCCAACAUAAGAUAUAGCAUUACACGCUUAGGUUCUAUAUACCCUAUAAGGUGAAUCCUUAUAUCUAGUUCAUCACUAAUCUUAAAUCAAGCAUGGCCCUUUUGAGACUCAAGUAAAACUCAAUCCGGGAAACUCAAUUUAAGAUCAAGUAUUGCUUUGAUAUGUUCCACUAAGAUAGGCCUUUUUGCGGCUCUCCCCUAACUAGUAUCAUUAAAUAGGUGAUCAACCGAAAUAAUGAAUAAAAAUAAAUACUAUCAAAACAAACUGCUACAGCAAACAUGCAACAACACAUAUAUUCAGUCAAUAAACCAUCAAGAUUGUUUAUCACUCAACCACAAAUAAAUUUAGUUCAUAGUUUGUAAAAGAAAAAUAAAGAACAAAGUUUCAGCCAUGAAACACAUCCCCAUAAAUAAAUAGAAAACGAGAAAGCAAGAGAAGAAUAAGAAUGAUUGAGCUCCCAAUUGAUUUCUGCAAAUUCUCCUCUUGUGCAGCCCUUAAUCUCUCUCUUGAAUCUUGUUUUUCUUUUGUUUCUUUGUGUUUUUUUCCUUGGGUGACGGCCUCCUUUUUUCGUUAUGAUGUGUGCUUCUUUUAUAGUUGAAAAUUAUGAAAAACAGAACCCUAGGGCGCGCAUAAGUCAAAUUAGGAAACUGCAGAUUGCAAUUCUGCAGUUAUCCCGCACAGAAUUAUCUCUGUCAUUGUUCCAAGAUUGCUACAGCAAUGGUUGCUACAGCAAUAGCUACAGCAACUGCACUGUUCCAGAUUUGUUUCAACUCUUUUGUAGCCAUGUUCUUCCUCCUUUUUGCCAGCCUAUUGCAUCAACAUUCCUUCCAUGAAUUAUAAGCUUCUGGAAACCUACAAUUAUGCACACAAUUUGAGCACGAAUUACUUUAAGUCAAGCAAAACUUAUUAAGACUAAACUAAAAUGAAUGUUUAUGCAAAAUGUAACAAAAAUGCAAUAAAAACACAUCAUUUACUCUCUGAGUGAUCUUGAUUUAAGUCUAGAAUUGGCAUAAUAACUCUCAUUUCAUAGAGUUAUCAACAGUUUGUCAAGUACAUUAGGCUGCCUAUCACUCUAGCGUAUUCUACUUUAGAAAUUCCCUCUCCACUAUUUAUAGAUAGAUGUAAACUCGUAUCUAUAACACAAUAGUAUCAUCUUUAUUAACUUUUCUAAGAAUUUUAUCUACAUGAUGAGUUUGGCUUAAAAAAUGUCCAUUAGAAGCCCUUAAGAUUUUAAUCCCCAGAAUGACAUCUGCAAGACUGAUAACUCUAUGAAAUGAGAGUUAUUAUGGCAAUUUUAGACUUAAAUCAAGAUCACUUAGAGAGUAAAUGAUGUGGUUUUAUUGUAUUUUUGUUACAUUUUUCAUAAACAUUCAUUUUAGUUUAGUCUUAAUAAGUUUUACUUGAUUUAAAGUAAUUCGUGCUCAAAUUGUGUGCAUAAUUAUAGGUUUCCAGAAGCUUAUAAUUCAUGAAAGGAAUGCUGAUGCAAUAGGCUGGCAAAAAAGAGGAAGAACAUGUCUAUAAAAGAAUUGAAACAAAUCUGGAACAGUGCAUUUGCUGUAGCCGUUGUUGUAGCCGUUGCUGUAGCAAUCAUUGCUGUAGCAAUCCUGGAACAACGAUAGAGAAAAUUCUGUGCGUGAUACUUGCAGAAUCGCGAUCUGCAGUUUCCUAAUCUGACUUAUGCGCGCCCUAAGCUUCCGUUUACCCUAAUUUUCAACUAUAAAAGAAGCACACAUCAUAAGGAAAAGGGAGAGUCGUCACCCAAGGAGAAAAACACAAAGAAACAAAAGAAAAACAAGAUUCAAGUGAGAAAUUAAAGGCUACACAAGAGGAAAAAUUGCAAAGAUCAAUUGGGAGCUCAAUCCUUCUUAUUCUUCUCUUAUUUUCUCGUUUUCUAUUUAUUUAUGGGGAUGUGUUUCAUGGCUGAAACUUUGUUCUUUAUUUUUCUUUUGCAAACCAUUAUCUAAAUUUAUUUGUGGUUGAGUGAUAAACAAUCUUGAUGGUUUAUUGACUGAAUAUAUGUGUUGCUGCAUGUUUGUUGUACCAGUUUGUUUUGAUAGUAUUUAUUUUUAUUCAUUAUUUCAGUUGAUCACCCAUUUAAUGAUACAAGUUAGGAGAGAGCCGCAAAAGGGCCUAUCUUAGUGGAACAUAUCAAAGCAAUACUUGAUCUUAAAUUGAGUUUCCCGGAUUGAGUUUUACUUGAGUCUCAAAAGGGCCAUGCUUAAUUUAAAAUUAGUAAUGAACUAGACAUAGGGAUUCACCUUGUAGGGUAAAUAGAACCUAAGCGUGUAAUGUUAUAUCUUAUAUUGGCAUAACAAUUUAUCACUGUUAGGUUCCAUAUAGAUAUAAGAUAUCAAACAUGCGACGGCUAAGGAUGCAUAAAGAUUCUGCCUAGUGUUGUAUCAGAUACUGCAGCAACCGAGCCAACCAUUAGAAAAUAGUCAAGACCAUUAGGAGAGUUUAUUCACUCAACUACUUUAUAUUCUCAUUGAUUUUAUCCUUGAGAUUGACGUGAUAAUUUACUUUGUUGCAUUUUAUUUAUUAUGUUUUUAUUUUAAUUAGUAUAUUAGUUUCAUUAAUUGUUUUAUUUUAUUUUAGCACAAAAUCUGUACUAUUAAGAUUACUGUAGUAAAUCUGAUAACAUCAAUCCCUGUGGAGACGAUCUUGAAUACUCAUCACUUUAUUACUUGUUGUGUACACUUGCACAUUAACACCAAUAGCAUUAGUAUUUAUACCCAACAAAGACCCAUGUCUUUCAUGUCAAACUUAGACUUCAACAUAUUCUUGGUAGAUUUAAUCAUGUCAUCAUCACUCCCAACAAUGAGCAUGUUAUCACUCCCAACAAUGAGCAUGUUAUCAACAUAUAAAUAUAAAAUGACAUAGCCAUUUUUUGUUUCUUUGACAUAAACACAUUUGUCACAUCCGUUGAUCUUAAAGCCACUUGUGAUCAUUAUACGAUCAAAUUUUUCAUGCCAUUAUUUUGGUGCUUAUUUCAAGCCAUAUAACGACUUUACCAAUUUGCAGACUUUCUUUUCUUGUCCUGGAGCUAUAAAACCUUCAGGCUACUCCAUGUAGAUUUCUUUAUCUAAAUAUUUAUUUAGAAAAGCUAUCUUUACAUACAUUUGAUGUAUUUCAAGAUUACGCAAAGCUGCAAUCGCUAUUAUCAUCUGAAUGGAAUUUAUGCUCGUAACAGGAGAAUAAGUAUCAAAAUAAUCAAGGCCUUCUCAUUGCCUAUAACCUUUAAUUACAAGUCUAGUCUUGUACUUGAUCCAUCGGCUUUCAUUUUCCUUUUAAAAAUCCAUUUAUACCCUAAAGGUUUACAUCCUGGAGGAGGGUCGACUAGCUCCCAGGUAUACCACAAAGUGCCUUCAGGUGAAGUUAUAGCUUCUUUGAAGCUUUGAGGUUCACUUUCUAACAAAAACGUCAUAAAGUCUAGACCAAAAGACUUUUCUAUUCGAGCUCUUUUGCUACAUCUAACCCCAAAUUCUUGUUCUUCUUCUUGAACUUCUUAUUCUUGAGCUUCAUUAUUUUCAUCAUUUUGACUGUUUUCAAUGGUAGUUUCAUGAAAUUGUCGUAGUUUUCUCGAUUCCAUAACUCUAGAAUUACAAAGAAACAUAUGUUUGAAAAACGAUGCAUUUCUUGAUUCUAUUAACGUAUUUUUGUGGACAUCUAGAACUUUAGACUUAUGCACAAGAAAUUGAUAAGCACUACUAUUAUGUGCAUAAUCGAUGAAAAUGCAAUCGAUAGUUUUUUGUCCUAUUUUUACCUUCCUAUGCGAAGGAACCAAUACUUUAGCAAGACACCCUCACACUCGUAAGAAUUUAUAAGAAGGUGCUCUACCUUUCCACAACCCAUAUGGGGUUUUAUCUUCUUGCUUAUAGGGUAUCUUAUUUAACAAAUAAUUAGCUCUUUUCCAGAAGCUUCUCCCCAUAUAUUCUAAGGUAACCCAGAAUUUAUCAGCAUUGCAUUCAUCAUUUCCUUUAAGGUUUGAUUCUUUCGUUCUGCUAUCCCAUUAAAUUGAGGUGAAUAAGGGUCCGUGAAUUGAUGUGUGAUUCCACUUUGUUCACAUAAUGUCCCAAAUGGAACAAUACACUCACCACCACGGUCACUCCUUAAUUCUUUGAUUUUCCUGUUAAGUUGAUUCUCAACUUCAUUUUUAUAGAGAAUAAAUUUCUCUAAAACUUUAUCUUUACUUUUCAACAACUAUACAUAGUAAUAUUUUGUUUGAAUAGAUUUAAAAUCACAUAUAUCACUAUGUUUUAAAUCAAGUAGUUCAGUGUUUCUUUUAAUUGUUUGAAAAGAUAACCUUGUUAGUUUUGCCUCAACAUAAGUUUCACACUUAUGUUUUAAAUCAAUUUAGAAAUUGGGAAUAUGUUUAAUGUUAAUUAAUUUAUGCAAAGAAUUAAAAUUAACAUUUCCUAAUCUACCAUGUCGAAGAUUAGAAGACUCAAGCAAAUAAGCAGAAGAACUAGCUUUAUCAUCAAUUUUUGGUUUUACAGUCAUUACAUUAAGCAUAAACAACCGAUCAUUGACAUAACCUUUUCCUACAUACAUUCAAUUCUUAGACAAAACUACCCUAUCUUACUCAAACACCAUCUAGAAGCCAUGUUUAUUCAACAAUGAUUGAGAUACCAAGUUCUUCCGAAUCUCUGGCACGUAGAGCACAUUGUUCAGAGUCAACUCUUUUCCAGAAGUCAUCUUCAGAAUCAUCUUCCCUUGACCCUUGAUCUCAGACGUAGCUGAAUUCCCCAUAAAUAGCUUCUCUCCAUUGCUAACAGCUUCAAAUGAAAUUAACAACCCUUUGUCUGAGCAUACAUGUCUAGUUGCUCCUGUAUCAAUCCAUCAUUCUUUCGGAUUAGAGCCGACCAGAUUCACUUCAUAAACCAUUGCUGAUAGGUUAAUGUUUGAAACAUUUUAAGUGAUGUUUUCCACUACAUUUGCCUCUCACUUCUUCUUAGGCAAUCUGCAAUCUGAAGACUUGUGGCCUAUCUUGUCACAGUUGAAGUACUUUCCUUGAAAUUUUGUUUGCUUCUUGAAGACUCCUCAUUUUGGACUCAACUUUUUAUUUUUCUUAUUUUUAGGUCCAUGUUCAAUAAAAAUUUGCCUUAGCCAUAGAAACAGCCCCUUUAUUUAUGCAAUUAUGUUGUCUUCCUCACUUCAAAGCUUAACAACCAGCCUUCAAUGUUCAUCUCCUUGAGUUUGUUCUUCAAAUAACUCUUGAAAUCUUUUCAAGAAGGAGGAAACUUUUCAAUAAUAGCAGACACUUGAAAGGUUUCACUCAACAUCAUCCCUUCAGCAAGGAUUUCUGAUAGUAUGAUAUGAAGCUCUUGUAUUUGGCUCAUUACAGUUUUAGAGUUCACCAUUUUAUAGUUUAGGAAGUGGCCAACAAUAAACUUUUUAGUACCAGCAUCCUCAGUCUUAUAUUUUCAGUCUUAGGACUCCCAUAGCUCCUUGGCUAUUCUUUUUCAAUAUAUAAAUUAUACAAGGUAUCACUCGGCUCAUUCAUUACAUAAUUCUAACACAAGAAAUCUGAAUGAUGCUAUGCAUUAAUGGCACUGAUAGCUUGAACAUCAGUGUCACCCUCUUUGGGUUUAUAAGCAUCAUUCAUCAAGAACCUUGCAAGGUUUAACAUGGUCAGAUAAAAGAACAUCUUUUCUGGCCUUUCUGUGUGAUUCAAAGGAAUACCCACAAAGGCUGAUUCUUUCACAACAGAGGGCCUAGCAGCACAAGUUAAAACAGAGGCAGUCUCAGUUAUAGUUGGUACUGCAUCAGUGCUUUCAAUUACCAUCUCAACUUAAAUAUGUUUUAAGAUUAUUAAAAAUUUGUAGUGAAUCAACAAUUCAAAGUAUAUUGAUAAAAUUGUAACAAAACGUAAAUUCAUAUAGGUAAACAACAAGUAAAAGUUAGCAAACAAGCUGCAGUAAAUCAUUGGAGCAGCAAUAAAAUAAACAAUAGAAAAGAAAAUGAAAAACAGAAAGUAUAGAAAAAAAAAACUCGAGGCCUGUUAAACAACAGUUUCCUUAAAACAGAUUUAACACCUACUACAGUACUUUUAGGUUUGUUGGUAUCUGUUUCCCAAGAUACAACGGGAAUAAAUUUUUAGUCAAGACGCACAAAUAAUUCUAGCGAACAACAACAAUGCAAAAUCUUUAUCAAAACAUAACGUCAGAAGAGGAAAUUUUUUUUUCAAAUGAUCGGUGUUUUGUGUAUAAAACAAAAGAGGAAGGUUGCCUUUUAUAUAAAUGAGGGUAUGUAACUGUUGAAUAAUAAAAUUCAAUAUUUGAAUUGAAUAUUUGAUUUAAUUUGCUUUCGUAACAGCCCAUUGAAUUUAAAAUAUUUAAUUCUGUAACAGUUCAAAAUAUAUUCACGAUGUAACAGCCCAUUGAAUUCAAAAUAUUUGAUUCUGUAACAACUCAAAAUUUAUUCACAAAUCAAACCUGCUUUUGAUUUUUAAUUGUGAAAAACUGUUACAAAAUUUAAAAAGAAAUGAAAUAUAAAAACGUGGCCAUGCAGGCUUGGGUGAUUUUAGGCCGACAUUUGUGUACGCAGAAUGCGUGGGUGCAAAAUCUUAGGAUAGCUGAUAAUCGAGCUUAAAUCAAAGAUAUGAUUGAAGAUAUGUUUAGAUUAAAGAUUGUAAUGCAGUGUAGUAUAAUGUAGGUACUAUAGUGAAGCUUUGUUUAUUUUAUGAUUGACUGUUCCCUAAUUCGACACCAAAGACAGUUAGAGAAUUCGAAGGAUAAAUCACAAAUUUUUAUUAAAGAAAGUUCAUGAACAUUAUAAGAACAAUUUUCAUACUCUCACAUAUCACUCUCAGAAGUUUUGUUUUGCUUCUUAUGCUUUCUUCCUCUUAGACUUGAUGCACACAACACAAAUUUCAAGGGUAUUUAUAGUACCCAAAACUUAAUUAUAACCACACACAUAAACUAAACAAAUUUAAUCACAACUACUCAUUUAUUCUCAAUCGCCACACUAACUAUCAACUUAACUCAUUCCACUUCACCAAUCACACGAACCACACCAAUCACACCAACCUUACCUACUACCUAAGCUCACAUAAUUUAGAAAGUUCUAUGAGAUGGGCCAGGCUUUGUGUUUUUUGGACUUGGAUUAAAACUAAGUUUUUAAUCCAACAACCCCCCUUAAAUUUGGUUUAAUAAUGCCCAAUAAAUUUCUAACCUGAAAGAAUCUUCUUGCUUUAGCGGCUUGGUAAGAAUUUCAACAGUUUAAUAAUUUGAUUUGACAUACUUUGAUUGUAUUUCCUUUCUUUUGAUGCACUCCCGUAUGAAACGAUAACAAGUAUUGAUAUGUUUGUUUCGAUCAUCGAAUACUAGAUUCUUGGAUAGAGUGAUUUCUUAUUUGUUAUCGACAUAAAUCUCGGUUGGCUCUACUUACGACAUAGCCAACUCCUUCAACAAAUUCUUCAGCCAAAUUGCAUGACAAACACAUAAAGUAGUAGCUAUAUACUUAGCUUCACAAGUUGACAGUGUAACAAUAGAAGCAGUAUCUCCCAUAAAGAACCCAAAUCAUAUGGUGCUCUUUCGAUCAUCUAUAUCUCCACCCCAAUCACUAUCACUAUAUCCAAUAAGCUUGUAGUCAUUAGAAAAUGAGUAUAACAAGCCGAAAUCAUUGUACCUUCAUGUAGCCAAAAUUAAUUGUAAUUAUAACAUGUCAAGCCCCGACCCCAAGCACGUGAGAAUUGCAGGAUUAUUAUAAUGAUAAUUAGGGAUAUCAAAUAAAAACUCAUGAUUAACAAUUAAAAUGGCAUAAACUGAAUUUUUACCACAAACAUAGACAACCUAAUUUUCAAAUUUUAUUUAGAAUUCGAUACUAAUCCAAACACAAUGAAAUUUUUGGAAUAAUAAUAAACUUGUAAAUAUACCACAUAUAGAAAUUUUUAGUCAUUUGAUAAUAUCUCACUAGGUUUUCACUUAAUUAGACUGCAUCAAUCAAAACUAUCAAUAACAAUACAGCAAAAAUUUGUGCAUUUAUUAAAAAUAAAGUGCCCAAAAGAUUUUGAUACAACUACCAUCAAUGAUAAGCUCAAGGGAAAAAAUGAUCUUUUAGCAUUUUGAGUCCCAGAAGAUUAAACAAAUGUCAUUUUUAGAAUCCAGAUGGUUGAAAACCUUACGAUGUAUGAUAAUUGGGCUUAAAUCGAAGAAAUGAUUGAAGAUAGGUUUAGAUUGCAUAUUGUAAUGCAGUGUAGUAUAGUGUAGGCAUUAUAGUGAAGCUUCGUUAACGUUAAGGUUGACUGUUCCCUAAUUUGACACCAAGGACGAGCUCUCUAAAUGUGCGCAAUUGUAAUCUCCUAGUAGUAAGGUCCCACAGAUCCACCCAUCGCUCCAUUAGUCAACCCAACCCAAGUCCAUAAACCACAUGACUAGGAGUUGACCAAAGUUGACUUUUGAUUUGUAUCAAAUCGAGGACCUAGAUCAUGCCACAUCACUACAAAUUUAAACCCUCGGUCGUUUGCAAUUUUAUGGUAGGUUUUAUCUUCUAUGGUUACUUAAAAAUGGGCAAUCCUCUUGCCAAAAUGGUAAAGAUAGUGAAGGAUAGCAGUUGCAAAAAUUGAAAUUGGCAUUGUGCACUUUGUAGCCCGUAUUCAUGAAGAAAAAUUAGUGAAAGGGCUACAUCUUUAAAAGAUAAAAGUCCAAUGGAAGCUUGGACAAUUCAUGCUUGGGAAAUAAAAUAGUAGGUGAUUCUAUUAGUACUUUUAAUUUUAAGCCCUUAGGUUUUUAAAGAUAUGAUUUGUUGAAUCCUUAAUCCAGUAUUGUUGGAUCUUUAAUCCAACAUUAGGCUUAAAAGUAAAUUAUUACAUGUUGCAGGUUGUCAUAUAAGAUUAAACCUAAUUAAAAGUGACCUAUUAAGGUUUUCGGUAAUUUAGGCUUUAAUACAUCAGAUAAAAUGUGGGAAUUUAAUGUGUAGAGACUUAAGGGUAAUUGUUUACUUUCAUAAUGGGCUGAAAUAGGAAUACGUAAAGACGACAGGAAAAAUUAUCUAUAUAAGUGGUUAUAGUCCCCAAAUCAUACGUAUUGUUCUAUUCUUUUUGACAUCUCAUCAUCAUAGAAAGAGCACAAAGAAACUUAAAGGACUCUCUAAGAGAACAUGUUGAUCUGGAAGGCUAACCACAUGACUUUAGAGAGUAAUUGCGUAAUUAUGAAUUCAAGUACACUUUCACAUAUUCAUUUAUUUAUUUUUAGUGAUACAACAUAAUGUUCUUGGACUAUAAAUGAUGUUUUUCACCAAAUGCUUAAUUAUGUUCUAACAAGUGGCAUCAGUGCCUCUUCAUGUUAAAUCAUUGAAAUCAAAUUUAUUUUAAAUUAAUGAUUAAAGUUUUUAGUGCUCUCAAAUUUAAUAAUUAUGAAAUUAUUGAGUUUGAGACCAAAAUUGGUGAAAGAAAAAAUAUUGAAGAAAACACAUCUGAUGGAAAUAUAUGGCAACCGCAUGGAAACAUAUAUAUUCGGUAUCAUAAAGACUUGCGGUCAGCGGUUGCCAUGAGGUUUCAUGGCCAUCGAUAAAGCUAGUAAGGCUGAAGCAGAUAGAGAAAGUGGCGACCAUGGCUGUCGCAUCAAGAAUCAAGAUAGUAAAAAAUAAAAAUGGAAACAGGAGAGGUGCAACUAUUAGGCUGUGCCAGAAAAAAGCUACGGCCACAAGCCAUGAUAGAUUUAGUGAAGCGGCAGUAAGAAGAAGCGACUGUCAUGGCCAGUGCAUGAAGAAGAAGAAAAAUUUUUAAAAAUUAGGGUUUUUUUAACAUUUGGGGGCUGGUUCAGGGUCCAGUUCACCCGAUUUGGGUCUAGCCCAAACCAAUCAAUAGUUGACCAUUGACCGAUCAAUAAUUGAUUGUUGACUAUGACUUUGACCCUAAUUUUUUAUUUUCUAUUAUUUUUUGGUAAUUUUAGUACAACUUUAAAUUCAAAUAUUGGAAUGUUUAUAUAUAUUUUAAAAUGAAUCAAUUAAAGCAACAUAUCACCAAAGUAACCUAAUUUGUGGAAAUUAUUUUGUUUUACAAUAUAAACGGUUGUGUGUAUGUAAUUUCUCUAAAUGUCAAUCGGCCCAAAGGAGAAUUACAUGUGGGUCUGUAGUAUCAAAUGCGUGAUGAUUAUUCUAUUUUAUAUGUCAACAAUAAAUUGGUCCAAAGGAAGAUUUAUUGUUUUACAUUUUCUUAUUAUCAAUUUUUUAUUACUAUACCAAGAUAUCACUUACAGGUUAAUAUUUUGUCCAAAGAUAAAAUAUUAAUGGAGUGUCCGGUAUCUUGAGAUGGGGUAUACAUUUAUUUGAAUUUAUUUUUAUUUUAAGACUUAUAUGAGCUCGUAUUGUUUGUUUGUUGUUCUAUGUUCAGUUAUGACUCCUACUAAUAUCAUUGCCAACAUCAAUUCCACUCUUAUGCUAAACGGCUAUAAUCUCACAAUCAUAGAUCUCGACCUUGCAUUAAGGGUUGCUUCUCCCCCAUCCCUUACGAAGGAGAGUACCCAUUAAUGACAAAAGAGAAGUUGAAAGGUAUGAGAAAUCAAAUCACAUGUGUAUCAUAAUCUUAAAGAAGGCCAUUCCGGAAGAAUUCAGGGGCUUAAUGUCUAAAAAGAUAAUUAUAGGUAAGGAAUUCCUUAUAAAAAUUGAAAAGAGGUUUGCCAAGAACAAAAAGGCAAAAGUAGUACAAUCUUAACAAUUUUAAUUUCAAUAAUGUAUAUGGGCAAAGACAAAAGAAAAAAAAGGAAUAAGGAUGAGAAAACUACAGGUACGACACCUCAAAAGAAAUAACAAAAUAGAUUGGGUAAUUUGAAAGAUAUUAGUUGUUUCUUCGGUGGAGCUGAAGGGCGUGGUUUGAUUUAUUCUGAGGUUAAUUUAUAUUCAGCUUAUUUCAUGAUUCAAAACUAGUUAGUUUCGGUUUCUUGUCAAACAAUGAUAAUCUUUUAUGAUGAAAUACUAGCUAAGUAACCCAAGCGAGGGAGAAUUGAGUUUCUAAAAAUUAUGGAGAACUUACAUCAAAACAUAAUGCAAAUAUCAAAUAAAAUUAUGCAAAUAGCAAAUAAAUCACAACAAUCAAGAUGCAAAGAGAUAAGGGAAAGAGAAUCAAACACAAUAUUUUUAUAUGGUUUGGCAAACCCCGCCUACGUCCACGCCUCCAAGCUCACCGGGCUUGAGGAUUCCACUAAUAAAGCCUUUCAACCCAAGGCUUCAAAAUCUUUACAAUUGACUUCCAAGGUGUCAAUCAACUUUGACAAUAAAAGGUUAUCCCAAACCUUUUAACCCAAGUGUUUCCCAUACUCUCAAACACUUAAUUUGAUGUUUAAAAUGAAAAUUACACAAAUUUUUCUUCACACAAUAUGUGUUUACAAAUGAAAGGCCAAAGUGUGAAUUGAUGAAAAAUCAACAAGAUUUAAGCACAAAUAGGAUUGAAUACAAUAAUAGGUCAAUCACGAUUGUAGAAUUCGUUUUUGUUUGAAUUUGAUUGAGUCUUUUUAUAUUUGGAGAAGAAAACUAGGCGUCAUUGACUUUCUAGGAAUAAUUAAAUCGCCGUUAACUGUUAUCGAAUCAUUGUUUUGACUUUGUACAAGUUAUCGUUAUGUUGAAUUUUAAAUAUUUGGUUCACCGUUUGAAGUUGUCAGUUUUUCAUUUAAUUCCAGAGACCUACAGGAUAUUUAUCGGCUAGCCGUUUGUGCUAAACGAUUCACCAGUUGCAAACUAAUUCCUCUUUGGAAUUUUUCGGUUAGCGGUUAUCAGUAAACGGUUUACCAAUUCUAAAGAAUUUGCUCUCUGGAAUUUUUCGAUUAAUUGUUUCUAAUAAACGAUUCACCAUUUUCUUCCAGAAUCAAAAUUAUAAAACUUCCUUUAGAAAACAGUUUGCCAAUUUAAAAUUAACGAUUAUCCGUUUAUUUUCAUAAUCUUAUUUAUGUCUAAGAAACUUCAUACGGCCUAAGAAUUUGAUCAUUUAAAGACUCCAACUUUGUUAAUUCAGUUUGUUAUCAUCAAAAUGAAAAUUUAAAGAAAUAACCACAAUAUUUUAGCAUUUUACAAAUUUGACCGCAAGUUUUUUUUAAUCAAAAUUAGCCUAACACUAAAUUUGAGGAUGAAAUUGCCCUUGUCAUUCUCACCCUUCUCUCUCGCUGCAACCUCUCUCUUAUAGAAAGUUCUCUCUCACCAAAAUCUCUCACACAUUGUCGACAGCUUAAAGUGGCGUUCAAAGUCCACAAGCAUCAGCGAAUAUCACUGCAAUCAUAUGGAAAACUACCUUGUGUGCUAAGUUUUUCUACUUGUUAUAGUUUAUUGUGAUUCCUAAAUGACUGAUGGAACUAGCCUUUAAUGGAUUUUGCAAAGCUCACAUUGAUAAGUUCCUGUAGUCUUAGAAGAUUUUUGGCAUGUGUAAUUAAAUUUUAGUACAUUUUGGGAUCUAUUAAGUGUAAUAUGCCUUUAAAUUUUGGGAGUUCUACUGUUGAGCUUUAAUUUUUGGGAGUUCUUCUGUUGAGCUUUUAUUUUUGGGAGUUCUUCUAUUGAACUUUAAUUUUAACACUUCACAAAUGUUUAAAUGGUCUCAUUAUCAAUAUGUUUUCCACACUUUUGAGAUAUUGAUUGAUAGAAAAAUUACCCUUAGACCUUUUAAGGUUUGGAACACGGCAUGACAAGUGUGUAACUGAAGUUCUAUAAUGAGCUAACAAACUCAGUAAUUAUUUACAACUAUCAAAUGAAGCAGAACACUCCAAUCUUAUCAUUAACCAAUUGCCAUUAUAUGUUAAGAGUAUAUAAAUGUGCAAGCAUAUAUAAGUAAUAAACUUCUGUUUCUUUUCUUUUAUUUUUAUCAUCUUUGGCAUCAUUCAAGUGUUGGGGCAAGAGAAAACUUUUGGUGAAAACCAUCACUUAUAACCCAGGAACAUUCAUGUUGUAUCACUAAAAAUUAAUAAUAAAAUUAUGCGGAAGUGUACCUGAAUCCAUAAUGUUUAAUUCCUCUCUAGGGUUGUGUGGUUGGUUUUCCAAAUCUACACAUUCUCCUAGAGAGUCAUUUAAUUCUCUCUGCGCUUUCUCUCCAAUGAUGGGAUGUCAAUAGAUAAUAGAAAGAUACGUGUGACCUGAAGAUCAUAACCACUUAUAUAGACAACAUUUUCCUGUUGUCACUAGGUAUUCUUAAUUCUGCCCAUCAUAAAAUUAGAAUACUAUUGGGUCUCUACACAUUAAAGGUUUACACCCUAUUAAAUACAUUAAUGCCCAUAAUACCGUAAAGCUAAAUAGAUCACUUUUAAUUAAGCUUAACCUUACACGACAGUCAGCAACAUAUAAUUAUUCACAUAUAAGCCCAACGUUGAAUUAAGGAUCUAACAAUAUUGGAUUAAAAAUCUAACAUCAAGUUGUCGCUCAAACAAAUGAAUGAUGUCGCUAAAACAAUUAGAAGCUAUAGAACUUAAACGAGACGUGAGCUUAAAAUGGAAUCAAUAAACUAGAAACAUAUUAUAAUAAGUAUUCGAAUAGAAGAAGAAGAAGAAGAAGAAGAAGCUAUUAACAUGAAUUUGAACAAAGGUUACGAAACAAUAGCAUUGGUAGGACCUAGCUACUAAUGGAACUCUUACAAUUGAAAAACUACUGGCAUAAAAUAACUUUUGGUCAGCGAAAGAGUAUCUAUGCAUCAAUGAAAAGUAAUAAAUAAAUAAAUAUUGGAUCGACAAUUAUAAAUUUCUUGAAAAAAAUAAUAGAAUAUAGAAGAAAAGCCAUAGCACCAUUUGCAUAAAGAAACAAGAAUAACAACUGAAUCUUUCUGCAUUAAUUAACUAAUAACAACCAAGUUUCGAUAAUAAAAAGACUAAUUUUUCUGCAUCAUAAAAAGUAAACCCGAAUGAGGCAAUUCAUCAAGCACUAAACCUGCAUUCGAAACACAAACAAAGAACACUCAAGAGAAAGCGGAUUUCACCAAAGCACCUACGAAAUUGGUAAAAAAUAUUAGACUUUCCCAGCCUAAAAGAAAAACCAAAGCAUUAUUACCAAAUUCAUUCAAAUCCAAAAGUAAAUACAUAAAAUCAACAUUCAAUUCGCCAGUACACCUAAAUUACUCUAGAAAUUCAAAUUUAUAGCUAAUUAAACAUUAUAAAAUAUUAAAAAAAUGAAUCUAAAAGCAAAAAUAUGUCGACAAUCAAAUCAAAAUCAAUUCCUCUAAUUCGAUUCCAAAUGUCUCAGGCACGGGUUGCACGAUAGAGUGAACGAGCUUGCCAAUUGUGGUACCUCUAUUUACAAGCUUGAAUAUCCUCUCCAGUAACUAUUCUUUUGCUCAAGUCAAUGUGACCUUUUAGCUUGUCACACCGACCAUGACGGCUCGAUGCGGCUGACUUUAAAGAACUCCAACAAAAGGAUAAUCCUGACGAUGUUGUUGUACUUGAGCAGGCAAGCUUUUAGGGUUUAGACUUUGAUGAAAUCAAAAGGGUCUUUUGACCUAGAGCUUCAAUCUUCAAUCUUCGAAUCAACUUUUUGCUUCUGGUUCGAUCUAUCAUUAAGAUAGGGAUGGCAAUGGGGAGGGGAGGGGAGGGGACCAAUCUCCCCGUACCCAUCCCCGAUAUUUUGCGUAUGUCCCCGUCCCCUCCCCGUCCCCGUCAGAAUUACUUGAAAGAAUCCUCAUCCCCUCCCCGAAUAAUAAUAGGGGAUCCCCGAGGGUCCCCAAUCCCCGAAUAACUAAUACAAUUUUUUUUUGUUUUUGAUUUUGAGUUAAUCAUAUUAAAAUAAAAAAUUCAAAUAAAAGUAAAGUUCAAAAUAUAUCUUACAUUAAUAUCCAUUACAAAAGUCACAUACAUUAAAUUAGUGUGUAACGCAGCAUGCAAGGGAUACAAACUUCUUUUACAAACUAUUAUGAACAAAUUAAUAGUCUAAUACAAAAUUGUUACAAAUAAAAUCGAAUUUAUAUUCAAAAUUAAUUUUUUCAAUGGUGGCAUGGGCACUUUAUAAAUGUGGACUAUUCCCUUUACAACACAAUAGUUAAAUCGGAGCAAAUCAAGAGCAAAUAUUAGAUUAGAUAUUAAAAUUGUGAUUCGUUGUGGGUAAUUAUAACAUCUAAAAAUAAAUAAAAAAUAGAUUUAAGUUUAAAAUAUUUAAAGAAUAUUAAAAUUAAAAAAUUUUAGGCUAAUAAAAUCUACUCAGUCUUUUUAAUGUCCUAAAUAAAAAUUUAGAACUUUAAUUAGUUAAUUAGGCCUAAAAGUUUAAUAAUAUAAAUAUUUUGAUAUUUUUUAUUUUUAUCAAUAUUUAUAAUUUUAUAAUUUAUUUACUAGUAAUUUUAAAAAAUUAAAAUAAAAUUAAAAAUUAAAAUGGGGAAAUGGGUAGGGGAUGGGGAUUCCACCUCAUCCCCGUCCUCUCCCCGAAUAAGAAAUUGGGUAAAAAAAUUUCCCCGUCCCUUCCCCGAAUAAGAAAUUGGGUAUGAAAUUAUCCUCAUAUCCUCCCCGAAUGGGGAAAAUCCCCGAGGGUACCCGUCCCCGUGGGGAUUUUUUCCAUCCCUACAUUAAGAGGCUAGAGAGGUUGAGCCGUUUGAUCUGUUUUUGCUUUUGGUUUUGGCCUUUGUUUUAUUUUGGUUUUUUGUUUUGUCAAAAAAGAGAGGUAAACGAUUUUGUGAAGAGAGAGAAAUGAAGAGUUAACAAUUUAUCCAAAUUUGAAGUCCAAAACGACAUCGUGAACAAUAAAUAAAAUAAAAUAUAAAAUCUUAGUAUGAGUGAAGAUUUAUUAUCUUAUAAUAUCAAUAACUGUUGAUACUGGUACGUUAAAAGUGUUAAAAACUACUUAAGUCAUUAAAUACUGAUAUUCCUUUUUUUAAUAUUAAACCUAAUAUCAGUGAAUGGAGAAAUUGUAUAGUAUAUCAGAGGCAAUACAACCAAUCGAUGCAUGUAUGACAUGUGUAAUUAAAUUUAGGAUGGGCCUAUUUGCAGUCUAAAUAUUUCUUUGAACACUCUAUUACUUUACACACUCAUACACAAAUUAUAAAAGAUUAAGUUUUACUUUGUACACUCUUUAAAAUUUCAAAAAUAUCCUUACUUAAACUAUUUAAAUUAUUUAACUUUAUUUACUUAAAAAACUAAUAAAACUAUUCAGCACACCAAUUUUAAGAGAUUUAACAUGUACUUACAACAAUAUAAUUAAGUCAAGUUGUAAAAAAAAAAUUAAUAUAAAAUUAGUUAUUAAUUUUUUAGUUAUUUAUGUUCAAUAUUGAAUUUCACACCCAAAAUAACUUGCAAUGAGAAUAUAAUAAAAAGAAUCAUAUUCCAUAGAUACUACCCAAAAAAUGAAAAAAGUCAUAAAGAUGAAGGAGAUGAGAAGAAGGGAGAAGCAUAAAAAAGAGAAGAGGAAGACGUAGAGAUGAAGCACAAGAGAAGAAUGGUGAAAGUCAAAAGAAAGUUCGUUCAUAGUACUUUUUUAUUUUAUUUUAAAAAAAAUGUAUCACACAUAUUGUGUAAUUAAAUUUUUUUUAAUAUUGAUUUCCUUAUUAUUCAUCUAAAUGUUAAAUUCAUAUAUUGAAAAUAAAAGUUUUAGGGUCCAAAAUAUGAUAAUUAAAAAUGAAUAAUGAGUGUGUUAUAUGUAUGUUCAAAACAAUUAUAUAAUAUUAACUUAUAAAAAACUGUCCUUAAUAGUAAUUCAUAGUAUGGGUAUUUUUGUAAUAUAUAUUUUUAUUAAAAUUAGAGUGUCCAAAAUAAUUUUUUGAGUGCAAAUAACCCCACCCUUAAAUUUAAUGUAACCACCAUUUGCAUAAUGAUCUUUCACAAUAAAUACAUAAAUAUCACAGUGUCAUUUGCUUGUUAUAUGGUUAAUAUAAUAUCUUUAUGCUGCAUUUACUUGUCAGUAAUUGGAAUUGGCUGUAAUCGGAAUGGGCAAAAAUUGGAAUGAGCUGGAAUGGGAAUGGGGAAUUAGAAUCAAAAUAAAUUAUUUACUUGACCUACAGGAAUCGGAAUUGGAAUGGACUGGAAUCACAUUGAUGUGUUUAUUUUAUCUUGGAUUCGGAAUCGGGAUGAGUUAAAUUGUAACAAAUUACUAAAAAGUACUUAAUGAAAUAUUAUCAUAAUUAUUAUUUUAUAUUUUAAUUAUAGUGAUUAUUUAUUCAAAAACUAUAAUUAUUAAUACAUUAUUGUUAAUAAUAUAUUAAUAUAUUAAUUAAUGGUAAUAAUUAUAUUAAUAAUUAUUAUAAUAGUAUAUUAAUUAAUUAAUUAUAAUAAAAGUAUAUUAAUUAUUGUGAUUAUUUAUGAAAAAUUACAAUUAUUCAUAAUUAUUGUGAAUAGGAUCACCCUAUAUUACGUUUAACAUAACGUACACACACUCACAACAACAAUAGCGGACCCCACCAUUAGUACUGUUGCUGUGAGUGUGUGUAUGUUACGUUAAACGUAACAUAGCACUGGCCUUGUGAAUAAUAUGUUAAUUUACUAAUUGAUUAAUAAUUAUAUUAAUUAAUUAAUUAAUUAAUUAUAAUAAUAAUAAUAUAUGAAUUAAUUAUAAUCAUAAUAUAUUAAUUAUUGUGAUUAUUUAUUCAAAAACUAUAAUUAUUAAUAAUUAUUGUUAAUAAUAUAUUAAUUAAUUAAUUAUGAUAUAUUAAUUAAUUAAUUUUAAUAAUAUAUUAAUUAAUUAUAAAUGAAGAUAAUAUGGGCAUUAUUAAUUUCUGGGAGAGGGUAAAAUAGUCAUUCCUAGGAAUGAGAGACUCAUUCCCACCUCUCCCUUGAGAAUGAGUCUCCUCAUUGCCAAAUUGUGGUAGGUCUUAUGAUUCUAAUUUUAUUUUAUAAUUUUAUUUUGUAAAGUAAAUAUUGUCAAUGAUUCCGAUUCUGGAUUCUGGAUUCUGGUUCCCUAAUUCAAGAAGUAAACGCAACAUGAAUGUAUUGUAAAAUUUCUCGAACAAAUGUCAUUUUUCUUCUACCAGCAGUGUAUACUUGAUAUUAAUAUUUUCGUUCAAUUCUAUAAGAUUGCCCUUUAUGGUAACUUUAAUUACAGUGACUGAUUCUGAUUCAGUAGAUGUUCCGUUAGAAAUGUUUUUCACUGCAUUGCAUAAAUCGAUGAAGACCCGUGUUGGGCUUACAUAUAGUUUCCAUUGGGCUGGACUGUAUCUAAACAGAAUGCGGCCUAUACAGCAUAAAUCAAACCCGGCUCCCUCCUGUUUUCAGACAGGUUUGCACUAUAUUUAUUUGAUUAUAAUAAUAAUAAUAAUUUAAAAACAUUUGUUUAUAUUUUUCAAAUAUUGUAUUGGUCAGCAUAUCUUUGCUCGCUCCUCAACUAAACUUUUCUUACAAUUGAUCUUUUGCAUGCGGUCGUUAAACUCAUUUCACAGCAAAUUUGGUACCACUUCAAUCUUCCUCUUGCGAGCUGCGUAGUGGUACAAGAAUCUUCCGUAACAAUUUUUAAUUUACCAUAGAUCUACCAUCAAAGUAAAGAGUUUAUUCUUCCCCUAGAAUGAUUGAGAAUAGGCUUGGUCUUUCAGAUUUUCUAUUAAAUAAAGUGUUGACCACUUUGACCAAAUAAAUUAUAAUUUUAUCCUUUAACUAUAACGAAUAAUUAAUGCAAAAUGACUUAAAUGUCCAUAAACUUUAUUUUAAUUUUCUUUUCUUACCCUUUUCUUUCUCUCUCCCCUUUCUAAUAAAUGCUGUCCAGUUAAAAAAUUUCGAAAGACUUCAUUUUUAAUCGAUUAUAUAUUUUCACAGUCAAUCUUUUCUUUUUCUGGUCUAGUGAAUCGGUUGGUUCGAAAGAGAGUGCUUUCAACACACGAACCAUUUAAAGAAGCUUUGGACUACUAGGAUUAGGCAUUACUUGAACAUUGGGUCGUUAUAACUUGAAGGUACGUGAUUCAGAAAUGUAUAAUGGAGGUUUUCUAAGGUUGAUAAUUCAGUACUGUAUUUAUUUAUUAACUCUUUAGCAACAACAAAGGCAUCAAUUUUUUUUUUUUCCUACCUGAAGUAAAAUUCUUUGAUUAACAAAACAAGGAUCUGACAAAAGGGUACAAUUUCCAGCCAAAACAAUCACGGGUUGAACUAUUAAUUUUUCGUGGCUUUUCAAUUACUCGAGGCACCAAAUCAAAAAGUGAAAAAAAAUAAUUACUUAAGGCACAAUCCUGUGACUUUUCAACCUAUCAAUCCAUGUGAUAAACGAAUUCUUAGAAUUCCUGAAACCCAAGAACCCGUGCUCCUUACUCUUGUUCAUGCUAACAAAAUAACCCGCACCAAUAUUCAACACCACAUCUGCAUAUGACCAAACAGCAACCUCAUUCAAUUUUGUUGGCUGCAGCUGAUUCUCUCUCACAAUCUCCUCCCACACACUUUCUUUACCCUUCAUAACUUCCUCAAAUCUCACCCUCUCACAACCCAUUUCUUCUCCAAACCCAUAAUUCUCAAUCUCAAACUGCUCAGCCAACACUUUCCAUAAAUGCUUCCACUUAAAAACAUCUCCAUUGGUGCAAUUGAAAGCUUCNNNNNNNNNNNNNNNNNNNNNNNNNNNNNNNNNNNNNNNNNNNNNNNNNNNNNNNNNNNNNNNNNNNNNNNNNNNNNNNCACAUCUCUGGUCCCAUGAAAUACUAGAGGAGCACCUUCGUGUUUACAAAUAGCUGCGUACACGCAGAGAGUGCCUAUAAUAUGCAUCAAACUAUAAGGUGAAAACCCAAAUAUUCCGGAAGGCCGGUGUAUGGACCAAGCUAAGCCCUCUCUUUUGUCAACUUCUUCAAACAAUAUAUCUUCCUGAUUAUAGUAAAAAAGCGGCACGUUUAGUCUUGGCAAAUCCUCAGUAAAAGGCGGAUCGUGAGACGGUAUCUUGCCAAUACACUCGAAUGGACCCACGUAAUGUUUGCCUCCCGUUUGGAGACAGAUGUGGCGGACAUUAGGCGCAUUCGGGAUUACAGAACGGAGCACGUUACGAAACAUGGCGCCGUUGAUCUUGCAAUUCUCGGCUUCAGUGGGACGGCUGGCCCACGUCACAUAGAAGAUGUGGGUGACGUCAGUGAGUUUUGAGAGCUUGGCUUGCGUAUCAUCCCGGUCGGAAAUGUCGCAUUGGAUGUAAUCAAUAGGGUACCUGGCGUUCCAAUUAGGCCUGGGGCGUCGGGCCACCCCGUGGACCUUCCACGGGCCACCGGGGGUAUCUGGUCGGGGCAAAAUCUCAGCUAGGCUGUUGCCUACAAUUCCUGUCACGCCUACUACAAGUCCCACGUUCUGGUAGUCUUGAGGUCGCGCAUCUUCUUCCAAUUUGUUCUGUACAGCGAAAAUUAAACAAACAUUAUUUUAAAUAUCAGCAUGUUACGUGUAUGUAUAAGCUUUUCAAGUGAAGAGAGACAAUUAGGGGGUCGAUCUUUACCUUAGCAGCGCCAAUACUACCUGCCCACCGCCAGCUCAUUUUUUGAUGAAUCUGGAAAAUUGAUGAUAAGUUUAGAGACUGCUUAUCUAUAAACAAUUAUACGAGCACUUUCUAGAAGGUAAUUUUCAGUUGAAGUUAGAUAAUGUGAAUAUGUGAUCAAUAAUGAAAGAUCCAAUAUCAUAAUGUGUGGUGAAAUGUGGUUCCGGCUAAAGGCCAAGCUUCACACUGUCAUUGUCAGUCAGUUUGCUUUCCCGCAGUUUUCAAGCUCGGUGCCAACUCAAAUAAAUAAGUAGGCCAGUGUCGGUGACCAUUGCAAUAAAAUCGCCCUAUGAUUAUUACGGAAGCUUCAGUACGUGGACCCUGAGUUUUAAACCUAAAAUCAAAUAUAUGUCUCUUUACUUUUAUAAUUUGCUUAAGGCACACCAGUCAGUUUUGGGACAAAAAGAGUCUUCGAUUUGUAUUUUCAUGGAAAUAAUCAAAACAUUUGAUAUUGAGGUACUGUAACUUUGAAAUUAUAAGUACAAUUAAAAAAAUAAUUGUAACUAUGAAUUAAAAAUUAAUAAUUUCUAGUAAAUAUGACUAUUAAAUAAUAAUUUUGAUAAAAAUAAUAUAUAUAUUAUAGUUUAUUCGUCAUACAGGUAUGAGAUUAAAUUAAUUUAAUUUAUAAAUCAAAGCUAGUAUAUACUAAAUAGUUGUAACUUUUAAGCUGUAGCUACUUAACUUUAAUAUCAAAAUAGGCCUUAGAGCCCGUUUGGAAUUAUUUUUAGGAGUUCCCAAAAGUAAUUUUGAAAAAGUAAAUGUCAAUUUUGGUGUUCGGAAAAUUUUUAAAAAAAUUACUUUUAGCAAGAUCACCCCAUCCUAUAGCAAGUUUUUCAAAAUAGGGAUGCAGUAUCUUUUUAGUAUCGGAUUUUGAAAAUCAGUUUUAUAUUUAAUACAAUUUCAUAAAUCUUCAAAUAUAUUAUAAAAAUCUAAAAUUAUCCUUAUUAAUUACGAAAUAAAAUAAUUAAUUUUAAAGAGAUUGUUAUCACCAAUUAUAUUAAGAUAACCAAAUAAAAUCAAUAAUUUAAAAUAUUUAUUUUAGUUAUCAAUUAUUAUAUAUAUACAAUAAAAAAUAUUUUUCAUACAUGUUUAUAAAAUGCGUAAAUAAAUUAAAUAAAUUUUAUUCAACAUUGUGUCCAAUUAAUUUAUUUAUAUUCUUACAACAGUUUAAUAGUAAUAUGAUUAUAGAAGCCAAAACAUCAAUUUUUUUGGUUAUCAAAUGGUGUAAAAAGUCAAAUGAACACAAAAUGCAUUUGUAGUCUAUUGAAAUAUCAAAAUUGUAAAUACACAUAGGAACCUCGUACAAGCGAUUGUGAAACUCGAUAUAUGAAUAAAUGAAGAAUUCUUUUUUUUCUCUUAAAUUUUAGGAAAUAGUUAAAGAUGUUCAUAUGAAUGAAUGGAAGUUUUUUUUUUCUCAUCUCAUUAAUUCAUGUGAAUAUCCAUGAAGUUUAUUUGAAUGAACAAUUUUUUUUUCUCAAUAAAUAUGCCAUAAUGAAAAAAGUUUUGGCUCUUGUGUAAAAUUUGAAAAUCAUAAAAAAAAUAUAUCAAUAAAAUAAUUCUACAUAAUCUAUGCUCACCAAUUAUUAGGGAGGGUAAAUGCUCAUUUAAUCCAUAUAUUUUGACAUAACUAACUUUUCAACCAUAUUAUUGUUGGAAAAAAAAAACAGUCCUUUGAUUUGUAAUUUUUAGCUAGUUAUACAAAUUUUGCAAGUUUCUAAAUCUCACCUCCACUAGGCAAACUUACGUAAAUAAUCAAAAGAGAGACGUCAUAUUUAAUUUAGAAGUUGCUCUCGUUUAGGCCCUAUUUGAUAUUGAAAUGUUGUAGCAUAGUAAGAAAAAAGAAAAACAAAGUUGCAACUAUUAAAAAAAAUUUGAUAAUGUAUAAUAAAAUAAUUAUUAAAUAAUAAUUUGACAAAAAUAAUAAAGACACUAUAGGUUUUUUCAUACAAGUGUGGGAUCAAAUCAACUUAAUUUCUAAGCUACAAUAGCUAGUGUUUACUAAAUACUUUGAUACUGUAACUUUUAAGAUACAGCUGCCCAACCUUAGGUUUAAAUCGUUUAUAAGGUAAUAAUAGACAUGACUCUAGAAGCUAAAACAUCAAUUUCUUUUCUUUUUUUAAUUAUCAGAUAGUGUAAAACAUCAAACGGAAACAACUAAAUAUGUGAUCCUAUUGUUGUGAAUAUAUCAAAAUUAUCCUCAAAUUAUGAAUCUCUGCCAUUUACAAAAAAGAAUUUAGUACAAGUGAAUGUGAAAGUUGAUAUGCAAAUAAAUGAAUAAUUCUUUUUUUGAAACGACCCGUCCCGCACCCCAGGGCGAGUCUAUCUAAACUCGUAUAAUCGAAUCGAUAAUAAUUAUGAUAUCUAAGAAUUCUAUCAAAAAUUCGACAGAAUCUCCCCUAUAAAUAAAACAUCCCCAAACCUGCAAUUUACAAAAUAAUUCAAUAUCCAUCCAUCCUUCAUAACCAACUUCUCAAGUCAACAUAUCAAAUAUCACCCAAAUCAUUCUAAUAUUAAAAUACAAUGGUUAUCCUUAAUUACAAAAUUAAUAAAUAAAUACAAUUCGCAAUAUCCCAAAUAUCAAAAUAUUAAAUCUACGACUCCUAGCACCAUCACAUGGCCACAAUUUCAAAUCUAACUAUCGUUGCUGGGUCGACUGAUAUACCUGCAAAUCUCCUGUGAGGGGGAAAAAUAUAAUAAAAAUUGGGUAAAUAUAAAACUCAGUGAGCUCAGUGAGUGUAUAGUAGUUUUUGAAAAAAUAAAUUUAUUUAAAAUAAUUUAAACUUUCUCAAAUCAAUUUCAUCAAAAUAUCAUAAGAACUUAUAUAAACAUAUUCAAUUCAAAUCAUUCAUUGAAAUAACUAUAUUACAUAAAUCUGCAUAAAAUCAAUGAAAUCAUAAUAAUUAUAAUAUCAAAUGCUGAAUAUAAAAAACUAUCAUCAAACAAGUACCCAGGGAAAUGAUCUCAUCAUAUCCGGACCUCGACGGACGGGCAAUCAGGGAACCAUCAUGCCCUGGAGCUACAACGGAUAGACGGGGAAAUCUCAUCUCAUAUCUCAUGUAUUUGAACAUCUGUAUCUCUAUAAUCAUCAUACUGCAUGCAUAAGCCCCCAAAAGGCAAAAGCGCCCAAACACACGGCCCAAAGCCUCUAUGUGUGUUCAGACGGGCCCCAAAGGCCUCUAUCUCAUCUCAUAUGUAUCUCUGUAUUCAUCUCGUAUUAUCUGUAUCUCUGUAUCUGGAGAGGAAGGGUACUGUCCAAUGAUUUUUCAAACAACAUUUUAUACACAUGUACAUAAACAUAUAAUCACAUCUGAAAUCUCAUUUUCUUUUUAUUCAACAUAUCUCAAAUCCACUCAAUUCUAAUAUCAUGCAUCUACUAAAAAACAAUAAUAAAAUCAUUAAUCAAACUCAUUCUUAAUAACAAUAAAUAUCAACACACAGAUAAAAAUCAAUUUUCUAGAAAAUCAUUAAAUCGAAGCAUCAAAUACUUAUUUAUCAAAACAUACUGCACUGUAUCAUAAAAUUAGCAUAUACUAUGAAAAUAGAUUUUGUAUAUUCCACUCACAGUGACGAAGUCUAGACUCGGUAUCAACAGUGUCUGCGGGUUAAUUCUCAUUCACGGAUCCUCCUAAUUAAGGAAAUGACAUAAUUAUUCUCCAUAAAUUUGAAAUACAACUAAUUUUACAUAAUAAUUCUCGAAGCGAAUAUCUAUCAACAAUAAACUAUUCCCACAUGCACAAAAUUACCGAAAUACCCCUACAUGCCAAAAUUACCAAAAUGCCCCCAACAUCAUUAUUUUACCAAAUUAUCCUCAGAAUCUUCAAUUAAUAAAUUGUCCUCAAUUCAGAUCACGAAAUUAUCACAAUGUCAGAAAUUACGAAAUUACCCUCGGCACGUAAAAUUACCAAAAUGUCCUUAGCGACUUAAAUUACCAAAUUACCCUCGAAAUAUCAAAUUACCUCACUGCCCUAACAUAAAAUUACCAAAUUAUCCACUGAUUCCAUAAAUUACAAAUUCACCCUAAAUUUUUAUGAAUUUACCAAAUUGCCCGUACCGGUCAACGGUGACCGGACUUCAGUCAACGACAACGGGAAGCUUAGGUCUGAUAGUUCAGACCUCGGUGAGUCCAAUGGUGGUGCCCGUGAGUCCCCACGCGCGGCGAUAGCGGUAGAUCGAAGCUCCAAAAUCUGUGAGCUUUCCGGUGGUCGUUUGCAGCAAAGACGGCGUCCCUGGUGGUCGUGGUCAGUCGGAAAGUGACGAGUGUGAGUUAAGGAACAAGAUCCGAGUGGUGGCGGGAUUAAAGGCGGCGAAAACAGGUCUUGGCCGCGAAUUUUCGAGCUCAAUCGCCGGCUUUCUGGUAGGUUCCCGGCGGCGAGGAUGGCAGGGUUAUGACGGCCGGCUUCCAAGCUUCAUAUCGGUACCAAGCUCGGCCGGUGCGGUGGCCGGAAUCGCGAGAUCCAUUCGGGUCAAAGUCGCGGGUCGGGUCGGAUUCGCGGGUCAAACCGGAUCAAUUCUCUUUCUCUCUCUCUCUCUCACGUGCCCCUAGGGUUGGCAGAAAAGCCCGGGCCGGCCCAGGCCCGCGGGCUUUAAGCCCGGCCCGUGGCUUGAAAUUAUGGGUAAGGGCUCAAAGUUAAUAAAGCCCAUAACAUAUGGGCUCAGUCAAGGGCCUAAAUGAAAAGCCUGGGCUUUAUAAUAAAUAAUAAAUAAUAUAUAUAUAUAUUAAAAAAUGUAUAAUAUAUUAUAAAAUUGGAAAAAAAAUUAAUUGCUUUACAAAAUAAAUAUAUGUAUUAUAAAAUAUAUAUAUGUAUAAUAUAUAUAUAUAUAUAUAUAUAUUAAAAAAUGUAUAAUAUAUUAUAAAAUUGAAAAAAUAAUUAAACAAAAUAAUAAAAAAAUCGGGCAAAGGGAAAGGGCAAAGGUUUUGUCACAAAAUGUCAAAAUUCCUAAAUCGGUAAAUCUCUAUUAGUUUUUUUUUUAUAUUAGUGGUUGAUUUGUACGUUGUGUACGGUAUUUGUAUUGUUAGUAUUUUUAUAUUUUGUGUUGCUAAUCAUGUAUUAGAGAAUUAUAUUUAAGUUUUUAGCCUAUUGUAGUAUUAUGUAUUGGUUAAUUAUGUUUUGAAAAUUUAUAAUUUUAUUUUUUUAAAAAAAAUUUAAAAUUUCGUAAAAGCCCGGGCUUGGCCCGCGGCCCGGCCCGGCCCAGGCCCGUCAAGGCCCGGCCCGCCCAAAGCCCGCUCAACUUGGAUGGGCUUUGAGAGGGCCUGGACUUAUUUAACAUUAUAUGGGCCUGGUCCUGGGCUUGGCAAAGCCCGGCCCAGGCCCUUAAAUUGCCAACCCUACGUGCCCCCUCUCUCUUUCCUUUUUUGGAAACCAGCUUCCCACUUUCCAUUUAUAGAAACUGGCUUCUUUUUUUUUUUUUUGCACUUAAGCUUAAUACAAAUUAAGCUAAUACCGGACCGUGAGGAAAAUAAAAUCCGACUACCUGAGCUUUUAAUCGGGCUCAAUUUAUCUCGAUUUAAUGUUGUGAUAAUUUUAAAAUUAAUAUCGAAGAGGAAAAAUUAAUUCAUGCACUUAAUUAGGAAAAAUCAAAGUGCAUAUGUUACAUUUUUAUUUUAAUUUCAAGAAAUAGCUAACUUGUUCAUAUGAAUGAAUUGAAGUUUUUUUUUUGGGCUUUCUCAUCUCAUUAAUUCGUGUGAACAUUCAUGAGGGUUAAUUGAAUGAACAAAAUUUUAUUUUCUCAAUAAAUCUGCUAUCAUAAAAAACGUUUUGGCUCCUGUCUAAAAUUUGAAAAUCGUAGCAAAAAGUAUAACAAUAAAAUAAUUCUACAUAAUUUAUACUCACCAAUUAAUCAGGAAAAUAUAUUAGAUAUAACUUUGAUGGAAUCAACAAAGUGAGAUAGAAAGAAGAAAAAGUGUCUAAAGCUUCAAUUUUGUUAGUUUUUUAUGAAUGUCUCACCAUGUUAGGAAAUCAAUAGUGUGUGUGUGUGUAAAAUGAUGAGAUUGAGAAAAAAAAAAUUAAGGUUUAUGGUAUGGAUGUGAUAAAUGGGUUUGUUUAAUUAAUAUUAACAUCUUUGUUCAAUUGUUUAAGGUUUUCCUUUAUAGUUACUUCAAUUUUGGGUAAUUUAGGAAUAAUAAGUUGUUAUUACAAAAUUUAUAUUCAAAGUUGUUUCAAGGGUGAAAAAUCUAUACCCUUAUAAUUUUGUGUGUUAUGGCUCAUCAAGUGUGUUGUAUUACAAGUGAGUGAUUCAAAUUCAAAUAGAUAUUUUCAUUGGAUGUGUUUUUCCACACUAGGGUGGGACUAUAUUGCACAAAUGGAUGGAGAGUGCAGACCCAUAUUCGGCUUACAUAAAUUUUUGUUGGGCUGGAUUAUAUCCAAACAUGAUGCGAACGACACAACAUAAAUCAAACGCGGCUCCCCCUUGAGGUUAGUCAGCUUUGCAUUACAUUUAUUUUAUAUAAUGAUAACAAUUUAAAUGCAUUUAUCAAUUUUAUUAAUAUUGAAAUACACUUUAUUUUAAUUUUCUUUUCUUACCCUUUUCUUUCUCUCUCCUCUCUCUAAGUAAUGCUCUCCGCUUGAAAAAUUUUGGAUUAUUCAAUUUCAAUCGGUUAUAUUUUUACAAUCAACUUUUUCUUUUUCUUUUUCUUUUUCUUUUUCUAGUCCUGUGAAUCGGUUGGUUAGAAAGGAAGUGGUUUAGAAGAGGAACCACUUAGAAAAGCUUUGGUCUUGAAUUAGGCUUUAAUUGAAAAUUGGGUUUAGUUAUAACUUGAAGGCAUGUAAUUAGAAACGUAUUAUGAAUGUUUUUCUCCAGGUCGACAAUUUAGCUAAGUAUAUUUAUUGAACCCAUCAACAAAUAACAAUAACACAGCAAUUUUUUUUUCCCUACCUGAAAUGAAGCUUUUCAUUGAUUAACAAACAAAAGUUACAUUUCUUCAGCAGAACAAUCACAGCUUGAACUAAUAAUUGAAAAUGUUGCUAAAUCGUGACUUUUCAAUAGCUAAGGCACCAAAUCCCAAAAAAAAAUAAUAAUAAGGAAAUUACUUAAGUCACAGGGCUGUGACUUUUUUUUUUUUAAUUUAACUCAUUAACAAUAACAAAGAAAAACAUCUCAUUUCCACGUAAAAUGAAACUUUUCGUUGAUUGGAAAGCAAAGAACAAAGAAAAGCUGUAUUUCUUGCAGCCAAACAAUCACAGCUUGAACUAUCAAUAAAAUGUUUAAGUAAGGCACCAAAUUCAAAAAAGAAAAUUACUUAAGGCACAAUCCUGUGACUUUUUAGCCUACCAAUCCAAGCAACGAAGGAAUUCUUAGAAUUCCUGAAACCCAGGAACCCGUGCUCCUUACUCUUGUUCAUGCUAACUGAAUAACCCGCACCAACAUUCAUCACCAUAUCUGCAUACGACCAAACAGCGACCUCAUUCAAUUUUGUUGGCUGCAACUGAUUCUCUCUCACAAUCUCCUCCCACACACUUUCUUUACCUUUCAUAAUUUCCUCCAAUCUCACCCUCUCACUACCCUUUUCAUCUCCAAACCCAUAAUUCUCAAUCUCAAACUGCUCAGCCAACACUUUCCAUAAAUGCUUCCACUUAAAAACAUCUCCAUUGGUGCAAUUGAAAGCUUCGUUUCUUGCAUUAGGAUCCACUGCCGCCCAAAUUUCCUGCUCCGCAAUCAAAUCUGCAUCCGAAUAUUCUGAGAAGCCUUCCCAAGUUUCUUUCGUCCCAGGAAAUAGUAAAGGAAAACCUUCAUGUUUGCAAAUAGCAGCGUACACGCAGAGAGUGCCUACAAUAUUCAUCAAACUAUAAGGUGAAAACCCAAAUAUUCCGAAAGGUCGAUGUAUGGACCAAGUCAAGCCUUCUCUUUUUUCAACUUCUUCAAACAAUAUGUCUUCUUGAGUAUAGUAAAAAAGUGGUACGUUUAACCUCGGCAAAUCCUCUGUAUAAGGAGGUUCGUGAGACGGUAUCUUGCCAAUACACUCGAAUGGACCCACGUAAUGUUUGCCUCCCGUUUGGAGACAGAUGUGGCGGAGAUUCGGUGCGUUCGGGAUUACAGAACGGAGCACGUUACGAAACAUUGCACCGUUGAUCUGGCAAUUCUCGGCUUCAGUGGGACGGCUGGCCCACGUCACGUAGAAGAUGUGGGUGACGUCAGUGAGUUUUGAGAGCUUGGCUUGUGUCUCUUCCUGGUCAGAAAUGUCGCAUUGGAUGUACUCAAUUGGGCGAUUGGCAUUCCAGUCGGGCCUCGGACGUCGGGCAACUCCGUAGACCUUCCAUGGGCCACCAGGAGUAUCCGAUCGGGGCAUUAUCUCUGCUAGGCUGUUGCCUACAAUUCCUGUCACGCCUAAUAUAAGUCCCACAUUCUGGUAAUCUUGAGGUCGCUGCUUAUCUUCUUCCAAUUUCUUCUGUACAAGUAAAAAUAAAACAAACAUUAUUUUAAAUGUCAGCAUGUUACAUGUCCACUAACUUAACUACAGAGUUGAUGUUUACCUUCGCAGCGCCAAUAUCACCCGCCCACCACCAGCUCAUCUUUUGGUGAAUUUGAAAAUUGAUGAUAGGUUUGGUUUCUGCUUCUAGUUUUAUUUAUAGAGAGGAGUUGACAACUGUGUAAAUAGACUUUCACAAUGUUUUGAAAUAGUUUACAUUAUCAUAAACAUCUAACUCUGUUCACACAUAAAGAGGAGACUGCCAAUUAUACAAGUACUUUCUAGAAGGAAAUUACGUAUUCAACUGAAGUUAGAUUAUGUGAACCAUAUUGAAAGAUCUAAUGCAAUAAUGUCUGGUGAAAUCUAAUGCACUAAUGUGUGGUGAAAUGAGGUUCCUGCUGAAGGCCAACUUCGUACUAUCAUUGUCAGUCAAUUUGCGUGCCCACGGUUCUUCAAGCUCGGUGCCAACUCAAAUAAAUUAGUAGGCCAGUGUCGGUGAUCAUUGCACUAAAAUCGCUCUACGUUUAUUACGGAAGUUUCCGUAGGGGGCCCAGGUUUAAACCUAAAAUCAAAUACGUCUCUCAAUUUUUAAAUUGCUUAUGGCACAGUAGUCUAUAACUUUUCAGCUUUCAAUAUCAAUUUUGGAAAAAAAGGGGGAUUUAAAUUUACUGUCGAGCUGCUAUUUUUACUAAUAUUUUAGAAGCAUAUGGUUGAUAGUUAUUGGAUACAAAUAUAAAACUAAUUGAAUCUUAACUAUAUAUUGUUAUACAUGUACAUGUGGUAGAAGAUUAUGAAUAGUUAAGCAUAGAUCAACUCAGUAUUAAAUCCAAAUUCCAUAAACAGUCCUUUAAUUACUUGUAGUUUCUAAUCUCAUCCUCUCCUGGCAAACGUUAUUAAAAAAAAAGCAAAAGAGAGACAUCCCAUUUAAUUUAGAAGUUGUUUCUCAUUUAAGACUUGUUUGAUAAUGAGAUAUAGUAACUUUUAAUUUACAGUUACGACAAAAAGAAAAAAAGCUAUAAUUAUGAAAUAAUUUUUUUAAAAAAUAAAGAGACUAUUAAUCGACUAGUACUUAGUAUUUUACUGUUGUAGGUUUUAAGUCACUGAUGCCCAACCUCCGUAAGAAAUAGAAUCUUAAUUUAUUUCGCUUCUUUGAGGGUUUGAUAAAGAGAUAUUUGACCUGUUUAUAAGAAAAUAAUUGACAAGACUCUAAAAGCCAAAACAUCAAAUUUUUUCGUUAUCAGAUGGUGUAAAACAUAAAAUGAACACAAUACGCAUAUGUGGUCGGUGGAAAUAUCAAAAUUAUACUCAAAUUGAAAAUCUCAGCCAUUUGCACGCGAACUUUUGGUACAAUUGAUUGUGAAACUUGAUAUACGAAUAAAUGAACUUUUAUUUUUAAUUUCAGGAAAUGGCUAAAGUUGUUCACAUGAAUGAAUGGAAGAUUUUUUUUUUCCUUUCUCAUCUUAUUAAUCCAUCUGAACAAAAAAUUUUAUUUCCUCUAUAAAUCUGCCAUCAUGAAAAAAAAUUUGGCUGUUGUGUAAAAUUUGAAAAUCAUAGAAAAAGUAUAUCAAUAAAACAGUUUACGUAAUUUAUACUCACCAAUUAAUUAGGAAAAUGUAGUAGGUAUAACUUUCACGGAAUCAACAAGCUGAGAUAGAAAGAAGAAAAAGUGUCUAAAUUUAUUAGGCUUUGAUGAAUGUCUCACUAUGUCCGGAAAUUAACUGAGACAACAAUAAUAAAACGAUGAGAUUGAGAGACGUGAAAUUAAGGUUCAUGGUAUGUGAUAAAUGGGUAUGUUGAAUUAAUAUUAACAUUUUCGAUUAAUUGUAUAAAGUUGACUUCAGUUAUGGGCAAUAUUUUUUUUGUUUUAUUGAUAAGGGAAACGAGCCUAGCAAAAGUAGCUAAGGCUUAACAGUAAGAGGGAACGCAGUCCCUAAGGUAUCGCUACGCAGCCAGAAUUCAACACCAGGAGGGGGAAAAAGAAGACUGUGGAGCCCAAGAGGUAACGAGAGAGCAAAAGUAGCAAGAAAAUCAGGUGCGAAGUUUGCCUCACUGUAGAUAUGGUGCACAAAAACCUGCCAAUUUUGAGCGAGAAGAGCCUUGAUACUCUUGACAAGGGGAGACGAAGCAUUAAGCGUAUCAUUUUGAGCCUCCAAAAGCUAAAUCACGCAUAAGCUAUCAGCCUCAACAAUCAUCGAUCUGAUACCCCCGUUCCAUGCCAUGAGGAGACCCUGAUAAAGGCCCCACAGCUCAGCAAUUGUGAUUGAACACAGCCCAAUGUUCAUUCAAAAUCCUUCAACACAUUCUCCACAAUUGUUUCUGAUUAAGCCACCAGCAGAAGCCAAAUCCGAGGCCUUACGAGCUCCAUCCGUGUUCAACUUGAAGAAAGGCUACACAGGAGGCACGAAGCCAUAGUACAUCUCUACUCUCGUGGGCUUGUCCGUUAUGGCAAUUUAAUACAUAUUGUUAUUAAAAAGUAGUGCUAAGAGAUUAGUGUUAAAAAUUGUAUGUUUAUUAAGGGGUAAAAAUGUUAUUUUGUGCUAAUAAUAUAAUUUACGUUUGUAAAUAUGUAACAUAUUAUGAAUUUCUAAUUAUUUUUCUAAAUAUUUGAUUUUGUGUGUUUAUUAGGUAAAAAUAAUAAUUUCACACAAUUUGAGACUCCAAAUAAAUGUACGGAUGUCAAAUUUGGAUUCCGAAAGCCUGAGAAAUGAGGUCCUUGUCGAUCAGGAUCUGCGACUUUUGUUGUAAAUUUAUAAGUUGUUACCAAGGUAAAUGUGGUAAUUGUGAAAUUAUAAACUUUUACUAUAUUAGGUGUGGUAAUUGUUAGUGGCAUGUGUUAGAUGUGCUUGAGUGGAUUAAGUUAGGUUUAUGUUUUAUUAGUAUGACAAAUACAUGGUUAAGAUAUACUUAGCUUUAUUUAUUUGUGUGGUGUGGAUUAAUCAUGUAUUAGUAUAAAUAGAUAGGGGGGAACACACCUCUUCACACAUUUCCUUCUCUGCUUUCCCCUCAAAUUCUUCUUCUCAUCUCUCUUUGUAAUAAAUUUUCAAUAAAUAAAAUUAGUUUUAUUUUCAAUUUUCAAAUACUUUUUUUCAUUAUGUUGUUUUUUUUUAAUUUUAAUAAUUCCUUUUAUUUCAAAUAUGUUUAGCUAAAUACUAAUAGUUAGGGGAAGAUGAAACUCUUAGUAAAAAAAUAGGAUUUAAACAAAUUCUAUUUUUAAUUAUAGAAAUUAAUUAUUUUCCAUCUAAUUUUAUCCAUAUUUUAUAUUUUGAAAUUUUGAUUUAUUGUAGACAAACAUGGGGUUUAGCAUAAUGAAUUUUUAAUAUCUUAGUAUAAAGUAUGGUAAACUAGUAUUUUAACUUAUUGUAAACAAAUUAAAUUUUGGUACACUAAGUACUUAGUUCGUAAUAAAAUUAUUGGGAAAAUAAUUGUAAUUUAUACAAUUAAUCAUUUGGACAAUAACCUAAAAAUAAAAAGAAUUUAUUAAAUUGUAUUUGUUACUAAGAGGGGAUCUAGAACCUAACUAAUUUAAUUUUAUAGUUUUGAUCAAAUUAAACUGCACAUUUUAAAAUUUAUUUUCAUUAUUUUAAAAUAAAAAAAAAUUAAAUAUUUUCUCUGUAGAUCGACCUCAGAUUCAGUGACUCACCGAGCUAUAGUUUAACUAGGCACUCUUACACUUGGGAGUAAAUUAAACACUUUUAAGUCGUGCACUUAGAUUAGCUUUUGCUGCUAUUUAAACCCACUAAUUUCUUCUCUAUAACUAUUUUAAAAAAUAACUUUAUCAUUAAAGUUUUAAAAUUUGAAAAUCUCGAAAUUACCCCACCAAUUACUUUCUUUCUCUACUUUACAAUUACAUACUCUCCCAUUAUUCUCAUAUAUAGUCUACAAACAAAACACUCAAUUUCACUUUCUUUUGAAUUUUUUUUAACAUUUCUUAGUAUAUUAUGAUCUAUAUUUCAUGCUUUCUGUAUAUAAGAAAUUUUUUCCUUAAUAUUCAUUAGCUUUUGUGUUUAGUAAAAAUUAAUUUCUUGAUAUUCAUUCAUUUUCAUGACUGAUAAAAAUUUGUUGAUAUUCAUUUUUAAAUGAUGGAUUUUGUUCUUCUUAGUUAGUAAUACUUAUUCUUUAUAGGUAAAAGAAUAUAUUUGAAUGGAUUGAAGAGAAUUUGUAAAAUUAAGAAGAGAAAGAGAAGAGAGGAUUAAUUAAGAAAUUUUUUAAAAAUUAUUUAGAUAAUAAAGUUCUUAAUUAAAAUGAGGGUUUAGAGAGGAAAUCGAUAAGUUCAUAUAGCUCUUCCUUAGUUUUUAGAGUGCAAAUUUUAAUACCCUUAUAGUUUUGUGUGUUAUGGCUCCUUAAGUAUGUAGUAUUACAAGCAAGUGAUCCAAAUUCAAUUUGAUAUUUGUCUUUCUACAUUCUGGUGGGGUUGUAUUGCAUAAUCGAUGCAAAGGGCUCACUCAUGUUUGGCUUACAUAUAACUCCUAAUGAGCUAGAUUCUAUCUAAAACUAAUGUUGGGGAAUUUUAAUUCCACUCAAGAUCUUGAAAAUAAAAAUAUCAAAUAAAUAAUUAAUAAAAUAUACAGAUGAAGAAUAAAAUCAAUCCACUACAAGAAAAAUGGCCUACUAUGACAGGCAAAAACGGUUAUCUUAGGGGGUGGAUGACGGUUAUCCUUACUGUCAUUGUAGCCAGCGUCAAGAAAAGAUAACAGACAGAAACCCGUCACAAGUUGUGAUAAAUUUUACCUGUCAUAAUUCAGUCAUACAACUUAUAUAAGGGAAAUUGGCUUUUUUUAAUUUUUAUGUUUUAUGAAAUUAAAACUGUAAUUAGUAUUUGUGGAUAAAAGUUGUGUGUCAAAUGUUGUGACUAGUAUUUUCAAUCACAAUUUUUUUUAAAAUUGACUAUUUAUUUUAUUUAUUAAUUUAAAAAAUAAAAAAUAUGCAAUUUUAGUUUCCUCAAUUUAAAAUUUAAAUUAUAAAUUUUAUAUCAAAGAAAAUAAAUUAAUAAAUGCAAUCAAAUCCAAAACUAAUGAACUAAAUUAGUGAACUUUAUUAUCCAUAAAAAUAUCCAAAGUACUUCUAAAUUUCAAAAACAUACAAUUGAAACUUUACAAUUCAAUAGUUAAUCAAUAUUUCAAACUCAAGCCAACAGCCAAAAAAGACCAAUCCAAAACCAAAGCAAAGUACUCAGCAUUCAGCAACAUCCAGCACUAAAGCUAUGCAAAAUGUAGUCCUUUUCUAGCAGCAAAAUCCAGCAGCCCCCAAGCCAAGAAAGAAGUAUCCCAUUUCAUCAAUUGAAAAUAUUAAGUGAAAUAUAAGCAUUUACACAUGAAAAUAUUAAGAAUAACAUCUACAAAAAGGAAAAAAAAUACAAGUAAUAAUAGAAUACGAAAAUACUCAGUGAAAACUAAGGCGAGACCCCUUUUUUCCCUUCUCUGGAGUAAGGCACUAAAAGGGAUUAAAGAAAUUAUGAUUGUGUUCCACACCUGGAGCUGGUAGAGACAAACUCUGGUCAUGUAAUAUUUGCCUUGGCACCGUUUGAAUAUGUCUAUAUUAGUAUCCACAAAUUCAAGGAAGAUGAUUGGCCUACCUCUUACAUAUAUCAUAUUCAAGUCCAAACAGCUUUAUUCCUCGUGGGAUUUAUUUGAUCAAAUUAAUAGUUCAGGAUGAAAAAUGGUUAGAACCUCACAGUCAUCAAAAGUUACUGUCUCAUAAUUCAUUUUAGUGCUUAUAACACAGAGGAAAUAAAAUAAAAUAUCUAAACAUACAUUUAUCAUGUAUGUAAACAUUUUUUUUCUUUUCUUUAAAUACAGAGAGGACAGUAGUUAGUUAUUUAAUUGAAAGGAUGCAUAGAAAGUUUCUUUAAACCAAUACUAGUGGUUAAGUCUCAAAAAGAAAUAUUAGUCCAAAUUCAUUACUUCCAAUCAAGCAAAAGCAUGCAGUAUCAAACAGGAAAUGCAUCCUCAGGACCCAUAAGCCAAUUUGUACUCCAUUACUAUCAAUUUCCUAGCUGGUCAAUUUUUUAUUUUUUAUUUUUAUUUUUUUGUGGGUAUCUCUUAGGUAUCGAAAGUCAAACCCUAAGUAAUCAAACAAAUUCAGAUAGUGCUUACCCAAUACAAGAUAUUGGAGAUUAAAUCCAAGAGUAACGGAAUGCAGAAAGUACCUUUUUUGAAGAAAAUGUCAGUGACGUCUUUCGAAGGUAAGGGUCCCAGUAAACAACAGGAUCCACUUUCUGAUUCAGCACAACAUUUCCACAUUUCCAAUCAAGGGAGCUUGAUAAAUACUGGAUGAUGUUAAGACCAAAAUCAGUUUUAAACGAUUUGUCUUCCAAGAUCGUACAACACGCAGGGAAAAUGCCAGUGAGUGGGUGAUCAUAUCUCUUCCUCCAGCGAGGAUAUUAUUAUAUAUACAUAUAUAUGCACACUAUAAAACUACUGAUCAUACAUUCAUCCAUUAAUAAUUUUUAUUUUAAUCGUCUGCACAAAUUAAAGGGAAAUGAUCAGCCUAUCCUCGACCUCAAGCAUGCACCAAUAGCAUUACAAAUAAUUAAACUUUUCUCCAAUCAAAUUUCUUAACUAGCUAAUAGGAAUGAUAAUUAGUAAUAAUAAGAGAUUAAUUAGAAACUUCAAAGAAAUACAACGUGUGCAUAAGAUUUAAUUCCUCAGUUCAUGUUUUUCUAAUAAUUUCAAGAUAACUAGCUUAUUUAUUUAUCAGCACAAGAUGAAGUCAUUUUAACUAUAUGUAUCUACUUUUACAAGCUAGGUAGGAGUACUAGAACUAUUGUUUAUGAAAUUAUAUUUAUAAAUAAAUACUUGUGUAUGCAUGUGAUCAAUAUAUAUAUAUAUAUAUAUAUAUAUAUAUAUGCACACACACAAAUUACAAGAUUGAUUGAUCGGGCUGAUGGAUAUAUCUAUGUAUGCAUGCAUUUAUUCCUUAGUUUUUUUCUUUAAAUUAAAUUGUAAUUCUCAAAAAAGAAAAAGAAUAAUCACAGCAACAGGCAUUUAGUCCUUAGUUUUGGAGGAUCUGUCCUUCUCCUUCCUCUGUCCUCCAAGAAUACGAGAAAUCUGUAAACCUUUAUGCACUAAAUACUUAGUUGAACAACAUUCUUGUUUGAAAUUCUAAAACAAAUGGGAACCACGCCAAGAAUGCAACCGGGGUGAAUAGAAGCAAUCCCAUCACUAUUUCAUAACCAUGAGCAAGUGUCCUAACUGAUCCCCAAAUUCCACCAUGUUGUAUCACUGGCUUACAAGCUUGUAAGAUCUAUAUACAGUUCCACGCAUCCAUAAAAAGAAAAAAGAUUACUUAUUAGAAAAGCCCCAAUGAUAAGCAAGCCUGGUCAAUAUCCCAACACCCAUCACGAUUAAAUUGGCAAGGAUCUUCAUAGCCUAAAUCAAAUUUAAUGAUAAAACUAUAAUAAUUGAAUUCCAAAAAAAAUCAAAUAAAUGUUUAAAAUUUCAAAAAUAAUUAAACAUAAAAUACCAAUCAAGUAGAUCCAAAUUUAACAAGAGCACACCGAGGAUUUUCAAAUUUUACAUGUAUAGGGUUUAAAUUUGAUGACAACACAUCUAGGGUUUUCAAGAUUUAGGUGUCUAGGGUUCGAAUUUGACAAGAACACAUCUAGGUUUCUCAAGUUUUACAUAUCUAGGGUUUGAGUUUGACAAGAACAUUAAAAUUGAAAUGGAACACAACACUAGAAACAUUAUUUACCUGUAUUAUUCAAACGAUUGCAGCAGUGGGUGAGUGAAUGAAACGACCCUCCCCGAACCCCAGGGUAAGUGUAUCUAACCUCAUCCAAACUGGAUUGAUAAUAAUCUAAUUAGUAAGGAUUUUGCCAAAAAAUCGACAGUCUCUUUUAUAUAUAUAACACUCCCAACCUGCAAAUAUAUAAGACAAGCACUCCCAAUAUAAUUCAAUACACAACAAACUCCAACGUUCAACAUCCUCAACCACAACACUGAGCUUUACUCAAGAUAUCUCCAGAAUCUCAAAAGAUAAUAUUAUAACUAAUAUUAAUAUCUCAGUUUAUUCUUAAUCCCAAAAGAAUAAUAUAACAAAAUUAUACAAUCCCAAAAGAACGAGAUAACCAAGAUGUCCUAACAAAAUCAUCUAUAUCUUCUAACACCAUCACGUGGCCAAUACUCAAAAUAUAUUUACAGUCGUUGGGUUGGUCUAAUGUACCUGCAACCUCCUGAUGGGGGGGAGGAAUAUAAUAAAAAUGGAGUGAGUAUAAAACUCAGUGAGAUCAGUGAGUGGAUAGUAGUUUUUAAAAAUCAAUUAUUACUUCAAAAGAAAUAAUCAUAUCAUUUCCAAACACGAUUUCAUCAAACCAUAUGCGAGAAACCAGUAAUAAAUCAUUUAACAUUUAAAUCAAAUUACUAACAAUGAAAAGCAUAUAGAAUACACAAAUCUGAAAAUCAUCACCAAACAAGUACCCAGGGAAAUAACCUCGUCAUAUUCGGACCUCAACGGACGGGCAAUGACGUACUAUCUAGGUACCGUCACGCCCCGGAGCUACACGGAUAGACAGGGAAAUAUCAUCUCAUAUCUCAUCAUAUCUGUGCAUACAUAAUCUAGUUCCCAAGGGAUAAAAGCACCCAAGCACACAGCCCAAAGCCUCUGUGUGUGCUCAGACGGGCCCCAAAGGCCUAUAUCUCAUAUGUAUUAUAUGUAUCUCAAUAUCUGUCUAUAUCUCAUAUUUGUAUAUUUGUAAUCAUCAUACUGCAUGCAUAUGCCCCCAAAAGACAAAAAUGCUCAAACACACGGUCCAAAGCCUCUAUGUGUGUUCAGAUGGGCUCCAAAGGCCUCUCAUCUCAUAUCAUGUGUAUCACUAUAUCUGGAAGGGAAUGGUAUUGUCUAAUGAUUUCAAAAACAAUCAUUAUACUCAUAUUCACAUACCUUUUACCCAUACUUUAAAUCAUAUCACAUUUGAAUCCACUUUUCUUAUCUUUAAAAUACUAUCAUGCUUAUUCAAAGUCGAUACGCAAAAUCAUUAACCAAACAUUUUAAUAAAAUACCAAUGCGUGAAUAAAAUCUAUUUCAAGGGAAUCAUUAAAUCAGAACAUUUAAAAUACUUAUUUCUCAAAUAUGCUUUACUAUUAUAAUUAACUAUGAAAUUAAGUUUUGUAUAUUCCACUCACAGUGACGGUGUUCACGCUCGUUAUCGUCCACGUCCGCGGACCGAUUCUCGCUUGCGAAUCCCCCUAAAUUAUGGAAACGACAUAAUUAUUUUCUGUAAAUCGAAAUUACGACUAAAUUUAUGCAAUAAACUCGAAACGAAAUUCGAUCCAUAAUUUACAACUCUCGUGUCGAUAAAAUUACUAAAAUACCCUUGAGUUCGUAAAUCAUUAACAUACUCUGAAAUCGUAAAUCACCGAAUUACCCUCGGAAUCAUAAUUACACCCAAUCCUCAAUUCUAGGAAUUACUAAAAUAUCCACAGGCUCAAAAAUUACAAAAUUGCCCUUAUAGUGUGAAAUUACCGAAAUGCCCUUCCAGGUCAAUGGUCACCAAAAUUUAGUCAACGCUGGCCGAGAAGGUCAAGUCUGAAAUUUAUGGUCACACUGAGUCCAACGGUGGCAGUGGUGACCUCCCACGCGCGGUGAUGGCUCCGGAUCGAGCUCCCAAAGUUGUAACUCCUUCAACCGAUCAACGGCAAAACGAUGUCCCUGGUGGCAGUGGAUGGUCGUAAAUGGAAGAGGGAGUCUCGGGGAACAAAAUCCAACCGGUGGUGUUACCCAAAAUCGGCGAAAAUCCCAGUGGAGCAAAGUGGAAAAGUCGAGGGUUUUCAAGCUUUGGUCGCCGGCAUUUUGGUUGUUUUUCGGUGACGUGGACGGCAAGGGUAUAAUGGCCGGUCUUCAAGCUUCAAAUUGGUACCAAGCUUGACCGGAACGGUGGCCAGAAAUGGAAGUUACGACCGAGUCAAGGUCGCGGGUUCCAGGUCGGGUUUGAUAGCUUCUCUCUCACUCUCUCACACGUGUGUCUCUGUUUUGCUCUGUUUUCCAACUUCCUCUUUUACUUAUUCUAACUUUUUAACCACCUCAUUUUAUUCCUUUAUUUAAUUCACAUAUGUUACAGUGAAGGUUCUCAGUUAGGGUAUUGAAAUUCAAUAGUGGCAGAACACGCGUUUGAUAGGCACUCCUUGUAGUUCUUGGUGAGGGCCUAAAUCAACGGUGAAAUACAAGAGAAUGUCGGCGGCAGUUCAGUGCCUAUGCAAGGAUUUUGGGCGAAAAGGGCUUUGUGAGCGUAAGAUUGAUGAGAGUGACUAAGCAAGAGACAAGAGUAAAAGUGCCAAUACUCACUGAGAAAAAAAAAUUACGAUGAGUGAUAACUAAAGAGGGUUUCAUUUUUAUUUAGUUUUAAUCUAAACGGUGUCGUUCCUUGUUUAAAGAGAAAACUUUUAACCCAAAUGGUACUGUUUAUUCUUUAUUUAUCUUUUUCAUUCAUUUUAAAAUUUUCAGUCAACCCUGCAAAAUAAACUCAAAAUAAAAAUAUUGUUUGACGACCAAAAUUAUAUCACAAACUUGUCAUUGUUUUUUGAUAGCCAAAUAAUUUAUCACUAGUCUAUCAUAAGUGCUUGAUAGAUGAAAUUUAUAUCACAAGUAUGUCAUAAACGCAUGACAAAAAAAAAAUAUCAUCGAUCUAUCGUUGUAACUCUCAACACCAAAAACUGUCACAUAAAGGACUGUCAUAAUAGGUCCUUUUUCUUGUAGUGAUCAAACAAUACAAAAAUUUAUGAAAAAAACUCUUGUACCAGAGAAAAUCAUGCAACUAAGGACAAUGAGGGAAAAAUUUACUACAUGGAAAAUUAUUGCAAUUACUUGAGUAUUUUCCUCAAACCCCAAAUCCUAAUAACACUCAUUCUCUCAAUAGUCUUAUUGUUUCUCUUACAUUAGAAAUUGUCUACUUGCUUAUUUUUAUAUGACCAAGCAAACCAAACAUCCUCAUAUACAGUGAUUAUUUCUUAUAGGAGAAGUUUUUAUUUCCUUAUAUAAAUUAUAUUCCUCUUUGAAUAAGUUAUGUCCCAAAUGAGGAAUUUCUUAUUCCUCAAAUAUGAAUUCUCCAAAAUAAGAAAAUAGCCUUGAAAACCCUUAUACUGGAAAAAGGAGACAUAUUUCCUAACAAUCUCCACCUUAACAAGUUUUUUGAUUAAGUGAAAAAAAAAAUAUAUAAUCCACCGUGUAUCCACACAAGCAUGUUGUCUGCAUCUUCUUUCCUCCACCAAAAUCACAUUCAUAUAGGGCUUAUGAGAAUCACUCUAUCAUGGGUAAAAUCUUGUCACGACUAUAAUUCUCCACAUUGAAAAUCAUCAUACUCCACUUUAUAUAGAGUACACAUAUUCAGCACAUCUCGGUCACCUUGCUGAAAAUCCUACUCUCAUGUUUGGCUUCCUUAAGAGUCAUCAACCAUUAACAUAAAAAUUCUACCAUACACCUUGUAUAAAUGUCAAACUAUGUCUUGCGUGUAAAUUUAUGGACCUGCUAGCAGUAACACAUUCUCUUUCAUGACACGCCAAAAAGGAUAAAUUAGUCUCUCGUGAAGAAAAGAGACACACCACUAGAUGAGAUUACUAGUAUUUCCAUCUACUAAUUUAAAUCUACUUGCCAAACCUGCCUCAUUCCAACAAUCUUUAUUAAGAUGCCUUGAUUGUCUACACACCUCUAGGAGUUUCCAUCAGUGGGAACAUGGUUUACAUCGUCUUUACUUUCAUUGUUUAACAUAGAUUGGAUAAACAUAUAUCUUUGACUUCAAUCUGUCCCAAGCCAAAACUUUUUCUCCCAUUAAACUUUCUAUUUUACCUUCACAAGUUUUGAAACCCUCUUUGCUGAUAUAUUUGCUCUGCAUUGCAACCUUAACUUUAAUACCACUUGUUACAAAAUUUUAAUUCGAUCCAAGAUCUUGCAAGUAAAAAUAUCAAACAAAUAAUAAAUAGAAAAUACAGAUGAAGAAUAAAACUAAUUAUACAACAUAAGAAUUUUAAAUGGAAACUCUAAUACAGGAGAAAAACUAUACUGUAAAAAAAAAAGACAUAAAAUUUUAUUAUGUGAAAAAUUAUUUCAACUACUCUGGCAUUUUUCUCACAGCCAAAACUCCAAUAACACUAAAUCUCUCAAUAGACAUAUUGUUUCUCUCACAUUCAAAAUUGUUCACUUGCUAAUUUUUAUAUAACAAGUGAACCCAACCUCCUUAUAUAUAAUGAUUAUUUAUUUCUUGUAGGAAAAAUGUUCAUUUUCCUUGUACAAGUUGUAUUCCUCUUUAAAUAAGUUAAGUCUUAAAGGGAAAGUUACUUAUUCCUUAAAUUGGAGUCCUCCAAAAUAAGAAAAUAAUAUAGAUAAGAAAUUCUUAUUAAAAAAAGAAAACAUAUUACUUAACACCUAUGCAGUGGUAAAGAAUCAACCGCAACACUAUUUUUGUUUACCUUAUAUCUACCAUCAAAGCUUCGGUAGGAUUAAAUAUAAAGGUAAAUUUUUCUGCACACGCAUUAAAAUCGACAUAAACAAUUUACUACUCUUCCCCAAGAAUUAUGAGAAUAGGCUAUGAACAAUCUUUUAGAAUUUCUAAGUAUUGACAGCUCUGACUCAAUAAAAUUACAAUUAUACUCCCUAACCGGAAUAAUUAUGAAAAAAUGACAUAAAUGCCCAAACCUUUAUUUUAAUUUCAUUUCUCACCCAUUAUCUUUCUCUCUCCUCUCUCUAAAUAAUGCUCUCCAGUUAAAAAAUUAUGGAUGUUUCAUUCUAAUGGAUUAUAUUUUCACAAUUUAUUUUUCUUUCCCAUUUUCCUUUUCAUGUCCUUUGAAUCAGUUAGUUACGACGGACUAACAAAUUAAAGAAGCAUUGGACUGGGAUUAGGCUUUGAACGUCGAGUGGUCAUAACUUGAAGGCAUGUAAUCAGAAAUGUAAAAUGAAUGCUUUUAAGCUCGAAAUUCAGUACAGUUUUUGACUAUUGGCACACCUCUAACUUUCUCGUCAAACCCCUUUUCUAUAGAUAUCCUUUUUAAUUCUUAAAAUAACCUCAUUUGCUAUACUUUCUUAAUAAACCACUGCAUAGGACGAAAAAACAAAAACUUCUAUCAAUGAGCUCUCUCUCUCCCCUCUCCCAUUUCAAGCACUUACAAUUUCUUAUUGACUAUAGCAUUCAUGAAUUUCUGAUUUUAAUCUCUAUCUAUCUUUAUUUUUCUUAGUAGGUAAUAACUUGAUUAUGUAUACAAAGACAAGUAUAUGCAUAUCUGAAAGAAAAACUUGGCGUAAGUAAAUAAAUUUCACCGAAUAAUCUUUCCUAAAAUAACUUAGUUUAUAUUUAGAUCAAAUUCUUAUCUUAUGAGAAUUCAUUGUUUUCUCAAAUUUUGUAGAUUUUAAAGUGUUUUAGAAUGGAGAAAAAAACUAAGAAAACAACAUAGGUUAGUUUAAUCAGAUAAGUUUUAUUUUUAAUAUAAUUUAAAAUAUAAAGAAUAAAUUUAUAAAUAUAAAAUAAGUGGAAUUUCAUAAGAGAUAUAGAGGAGUGCGAAUAGCGCCACUCUUUUAUUUAACUCAUUAACAAUAACAAAGGCAGCAGUUUUUCUUUUUUUUUAAUCUUUUUUCCCCCAGAAACGACACUUUUCAUUGAUUGGAAAGCAAAGAACAAACGAAAGCUGCUUUUCUUCCAGCCAAACAAUCUCAAUUUAAACUAUUAAUUGGAAGUUUUAACUAAGGCACCAAAUUAAAAUAAAUAAAUAAAAUUACUUAAGGCACAAUCCUGUGACUUUUUAGCCUACCAAUCCAAGUGACGAAGGAAUUCUUAGAAUUCCUGAAACCCAAGAACCCGUGCUCCUUACUCUUGUUCAUGCUAACUAAAUAACCCGCACCAAUAUUCAACCCCAUAUCUGCAUAUGACCAAACAGCAACCUCAUUCAAUUUCGUUGGCUGAAGCUGAUUCUCUCUCACAAUCUCCUCCCACACACUUUCUUUACCUUUCAUAAAUUCCCCCAAUCUCAUCCUCUCACUAUCCUUUUCAUCUCCAAACCCAUAAUUCUCAAUCUCAAACUGCUCAGCCAACGCUUUCCAUAAAUGCUUCCACUUAAAAACAUCUCCAUUGGUACAAUUGAAAGCUUCGUUUCUUGCAUUAGCAUCAACUGCCGCCCAAAUUUGCUGCUCCGCAAUCAAAUCUGCAUCCGAAUAUUCUGAGAAGCCUUCCCAAGUUUCUUUCGUCCCAGGAAAUAGUAAAGGAAUGCCUUCAUGUUUACAGAUAGCAGCGUACAUGCAGAGAGUGGCUAUAAUAUUCAUCAAACUAUAAGGUGAAAACCCAAAUAUUCCGAAAGGUCGAUGUAUGGACCAAGUCAGGCCCUCUCUUUUCUCAACUUCUUCAAACAAUAUGUCUUCUUGAUUAUAGUAAAAAAGUGGUAUGUUUAACCUUGGCAAAUCCUCAGUAAAAGGCGGAUCGUACGGUAUCUUGCCGAUACAGUCGAAUGGUCCCAG